rnacentral:lncRNA from 1 species
AAUGGCCUCUAUUGAUUUCUUCCUUGGCAUUUUUGCUCAUAGCCACUACUGCCACGGCUGCUUAUGAGCCUUACAUUUAUGCCUCACCACCUCCACCGCCUUACUAUUACAAGUCACCACCACCACCAGAAUAUUCUCCACCACCACCUUACUACUACAAAUCUCCACCACCACCUGAGAAGUCUCCCCCGCCACCUUACUACUAUCACUCACCACCUCCUCCUAAGAAGUCACCCCCACCACCUUACUACUAUAAGUCUCCGCCUCCGCCGAAGGAAUAUCCCCCACCACCUUACUACUACAAGUCUCCGCCACCACCGGAGAAGUAUACCCCGCCACCUUACUACUACAAGUCUCCGCCCCCACCCGAGAAGUAUACCCCGCCACCUUACUACUACAAGUCACCGCCCCCUCCGCCACCUUACUACUACAAGUCUCCGCCACCACCGGAGAAGUAUACCCCGCCACCUUACUACUACAAGUCACCGCCCCCACCCGAGAAGUAUACCCCGCCACCUUACUACUACAAGUCACCGCCCCCACCGGAGAAGUAUCCCCCUCCACCUUACUACUACAAGUCACCGCCCCCACCGGAGAAGUAUCCCCCUCCACCUUACUACUACAAGUCACCGCCCCCACCAGAGAAGUAUCCCCCUCCACCUUACUACUACAAGUCACCGCCCCCACCAGAGAAGUAUCCCCCUCCACCUUACUACUACAAGUCACCGCCCCCACCAGAGAAGUAUCCCCCUCCACCUUACUACUACAAGUCACCACCGCCACCAGAGAAGUAUCCCCCUCCACCUUACUACUACAAGUCACCACCGCCACCACCUUAUUAUUAGAAGUCUCCUCCACCUCCCUCUCCAUCUCCACCCCCUCCAUACUACUAUAAGUCGCCACCUCCUCCUUCUCCAUCUCCACCCCCACCGUACUAAUAUUUGUCUCCUCCACCUCCUAAAGGCUACUAAAUAUACAAUGUGUUGUUGAAACAUGUGUGAUCUUAGUUAUGUAAGAAUAAGUGUAAGUUUGUAAGCUUGUUCUAUUUCUGAUUUUUUCUUCAUCAAUGUUUUUGUGAAUAAAAGGAUUUGAGAUGGUAAAUCCAUUUGUAAGAAGUGCUGCUCAUUUUCGUUGUAAAAGUUAUUGUAAGCAAUAAGAUCUCGUAAUUUAAGGUUUCAUAAAAGUUAUAUGUGCAACUACUUUCAAUUUCCAUUGUCAUCUUUUUCACAACCACCAAGCGUAUUACUUCUUUAUAGAUGGAAAAUGCAGAGGCAAGCUUAUUAUUCUUUAAUAUUACCAUUCUUGAUGUGUUUGUUUAUUUAGUUGAAACGGUAAAUAAAAUGUACAUGAAGUACCGCACUGCAUCCAAAUUAAAUUUAGGAUAUAGACUAAGUUCAUGUAAUCUCAAUUUUGUCACAUUAUUAUUGGAUUUUAUAUAAAUAGCUAAUUUCUUUUCCUUCCGAAUUUCGACGGGAAGGAGAAUUUAUUAAGUAAUACAGAGAAGUGCACCUAGUAAUAUUUAAAGAGGAUAUAAUGAGCACUACCUUUCAUGAUGAUAAUGCCCAUGAACAAGUAAGAGAAGCUUAGAGUUUUAUUCCUACUCAAAUCAGAUUCUACGGAGGAGUUAUAUUCGUACCUUUUUAACGCUUUACAUAUAUGAUUAGAGAAUUAUGAGGACAUAAAUUCCGCUAUAAAUUUGUUGUUAUAUUUAGAGGAGUUUACAUGACUGGAGAAUUAUACACACAUAAAUUCUUUGAUGUCCAUUUUAAAUUAUAUUCCAAAAGGGAAAAUGUUUUCCGUUUAUGGUUUAAAAAUAGAAGCUUUGUGCUUUUUUUUUUUAAAAAAAAAAUCUAGAUCAUUCAGUGAAUAUUGGUUGUUAAUUUACUGCCAAAAUACUCGUAAGUUUAUUUAUUUAUUCUGUAAUGCAACUUUUGGGAUACAUAAUAAUCAUAUAAAUAAAUAAACUAUAUUGUAAUAUAUUUCAAUUAACUUGUUGACUUGUAUGAAAAGAGCGUGUCAUUACCUUUUAUGCCUAAUUAAAUUUACAAUUUUAGUCCCUAUGAUUUUUUUUUUUCAAUCAUUAAUUCCAUGCUCUUAUGAGUAGAAACAUAUGUAGAAUUUUGAUAUUUAAGAGUUGGUGGAGUUUCUAUGAUAUUUUGUACCUGUGGCUCAUCAUUUCACCACGGUGGGCAACUUCAUGGAUUUUGUCCUCUAAAAGGUAGCACUCUAACUUAAGAUGCCAUGUUCUUCAGAAAGUUAUCAAAUAGUUGAAUAGUUAUAUUAAGUUUAUUAUUGAUAAGAAUCUUAAUUAACUAGAUAUAGUACUUAAUAUACAAUGUUUUAUUCGUGAAAUUGUUGAACUAUUUUCACCAUUUUUCAAUGUCAUUUUCAGGAUGAGCUAUCAUUUGGAAUUUCAUUUUCUAUGGACUCUCACUUUUUCCCAUAACCACUUUUUUUGUUUAUAUUUUAUCAGAUUAAUUAUUCCUUGUUUGUUUAGAAGGAGCUUUCAUAUUGGAGAAAUACAUUACGUAUCUUAUAAAUCUAUGCAUCUUUACCUUUUUUUUUCCCAAAAUAAUUAAAAAAAAAAAAACCUCACCAAUGACCAAUCCAAUGUUCAAUAUGAAAAGUUUGAAGAAAAAAUGGUGUGAACUAAAACAAAAUAUAUAAUUUUGUCACAAUCCAAGAAAAAAAAAUCAUUAUAAAAUAUAAUUAAGAGGUAGCCACCUUCUCUACAUCAAUUUGUCACAAAACUAUAUCAGUGAGAUAUAUGCAAGACUCACCCAUUGGUACAAAAGAAAAUGAUCAAAGUGGAAGCAAAAAUGUGGUGAUAAUUUAGAUGAUCUCCACUCCCCAUUUAGUUUCAUUUAUUAAGUUAAUGUUUAAUCAAGAGUCUAAUUACUCAUUUUAUUAUGUUAUUAAUCAACUGCCGCCCCUUCCACUGGUUCAUUAUUUUUUAUGGAAUACAAAAAACAGACAAUAAUAUUCUUUGACAUAGCUAGGAAUAUAGCCCACUUGCAAGAGACUUACAUUCCAUCGCUCCCUAAUUUCCCGUGUAACAUCUUAUCUUGCAUCACAUCAGAGACGUGUUCGUUUGCACAGCCAUUUCGUGAAUAUAAAAUUGCUGCCGAAUAAGCAUCUAAUCAAAAGAAUUUGUCAACGGUAUAAAUUAAAAUAUAAAAAACGAGUAAAAGAAUUUGUCAAUAGGAUAUGGGAGGCCAUGGCUUCAAUCGGUUUGUGCAAUGGUCAAUGGCAUAUUUUUGCUCAUCGUCACCACUGAAUCCACUGAUCAUUUGUGCAUGUGAGUUGUUUUUGAGCAUUUAUUUUUCCCUUUAGAAGCAUAAGGAUAAGGCUAGUCUUCUUUUUGGGAGGACUUAUUGCUUCCAUUCGUUAAAAUUGGGCAUGUAAAAUGUCAAGAAAAAAUGGCCUAAGUGGCUAGCUAGAUGAUAUAAUGGAUGGUUACUACUCAAACCUAGCAAUAAAUGAAUGUCCGACAAGCAUUCAAAUGAAUGAAUAAAACCAAUCAGAUUAGAAUAUCUAUUUAUGAUAGAUUAAUGAAAAUACGAUUCAAAUAUAAGGUAAAUAAUCUCUCCAUUAAUUUUUUAUUGUUUCAGGCAGGGUUGCCAAGCCUCUGUCCGGGCUUCUAUAAGCUCAAUUCCAGCUCUCCUAUAUGAUUGAAUUAGAUCGGGCUAGGCCCUCGGACUUUUUAAUUAAAAAAGGUCGAUUUUUAAGUUUAUGAAGUUAAUACACUCACGCUUAUACUUUAAUAUUUUUAUUAUUUGGCUUUUAGAAUAUUAACGUGUAAAUUACUUUUUUUUUUCAAGUGAAAUAAUUAUCACAUUUUGUCUUCUUAGUAUAUAUUUCUACCUUUUUGUUCCUAUAGAUAUUUCCUCAUUUCAUCUUUGGUACUAGAGCGUAGUAAAAAAACACAUGAUUAAAGAUAAAUAUGACAUUUUAACUAACAAAUUAAUUAUUUGUAUCUAAGAUCUAGCUCUAGUGGUAAAGAUCAAUUUUCAUCGAAUUCAAGUCUUGGGUUUGAAUUUAAAUGCAUGGGUAAGUUAAUAAUAAUAAUAAUAAUAAUAAUAAUAAUAAUAAUAUCAAAUUAACUAGCUUUAAUUUGCAAAGGUCUUAGAUAAUCAAUUCGCUUGUAAAAAUAUCAAAAUUUUUUUUAAUCAAUGAAAUUUUCAAGUCUCUAGUUUUAGCACAAGGAAUGAAUUAAAAGAGUAAUGAUAAAUAUUUUACAAUUUUAUCCCAAAUGAUAAGACAUGUCAUGUGUCAUGUAUUAAGUGAUUGAUGAUUUUUUUAUAAAUUUUAAGUGGAUGAAAUAUAUUAUUUCACCAACCAGUAAAUGAAUAUGACAUCAUUUGAGAAGGAAUUUUAUGGUACAAUUUUGAAAUAUUUAUCACUACUCAAUUAUAUACAGUAUAAAAAAUCUAAUAGGGACCAAAAAUAUAAAAACAGAUUAAGAAUAAAAAAUAUAAAAGUCAAUUCCUAAUUAGGAGAAUGAAAGUGUCAUUCCCCUGUAAUCAUUUCACUAGAUAUUAUGUAAAUAUAUUAAGGCAAAAUUUUAAUAGAAAAUUGGUACCCAAACCUAACGUCUUUGACAUUGCUGCCAAGAUCACUCACAACUUACAAGAAUAAAAAAUUGGUAUUAAAUUUAUUAAUGUUCUCAAGGAAUUUUUAGCUUGACUUUACAUUUCUCGGACCCAUUUGUCACAUAACACCUUAGUUCGUUAACAAAGCCCUUUCAUGAGAAUAUUAGAACUGCUGUCGAAUAAGCAUCUUAACAACCCCUUUUUGACAUACAUGCAUGCCUCCUUCUGUGAACAAUUUGAAACAUAAAAUAAAAUUUCAAUCGAUGUGAGGGUUGGAGUAUUUUAUAGCUUUUGACCUCAUUAAUUAUGAGUAAGAGAAUAUUUCUACGUCACUAAUGGUUAAAAUGAUCACUAUAUAAAGGGUAGCAAAGUAUGUUUAACAUCAAGUCAGAAAACACAAUUUUUAGGAAAUGGGAACUCGGGGACAAGCGAGGCAAUGGCCUCAAUUGUUUUGUGCUAUAGCAUUUUUGCUUAUAACCACCACCACCAAGGCAUCGGCUGAUGAUUAUGCCUCAGCACCACCACCAAAGUAUUCUUCUCCACCUCCUUACUACUACAAAUCACCACCUCCUCCUUCUCCCUCUCCACCUCCACCAUAUUAUUACAAGUCUCCCCCACCACCAUCUCCGUCUCCUCCACCACCUUACUACUACAAGUCACCACCACCACCAGUGCAUUCUCCCCCGCCACCUUAUUACUACAAAUCUCCGCCGCCACCAAAGUAUUCUCCCCCGCCACCUUAUUACUACAAAUCUCCACCGCCACCAAAGCAUUCUCCCCCACCACCUUACUACUACAAAUCUCCACCGCCACCAAAGCAUUCUCCUCCACCACCUUACUACUACAAAUCUCCACCACCACCAAAACACACCUUACUAUUAUAAAUCACCACCUCCACCAAUGAAGUCUCCACCUCCGCCAUAUUACUAUAAAUCACCACCACCACCAAAGCAUUCUCCCCCGCCACCUUACUACUACAAGUCUCCACCACCACCAAAACAUUCCCCACCACCACCUUACUACUAUAAGUCACCGCCUCCACCAGUAAAGUCUCCACCACCGCCCCCAAAGCAUUCUCCCCCACCACCUUAUUAUUACAAAUCACCACCUCCACCAGUGAAGUCUCCACCUCCGCCACCUUACUAUAAAUCACCACCACCUCCAAAGCAUUCUCCCCCUCCACCUUACUAUUAUAAAUCACCACCUCCACCAAUGAAGUCUCCACCUCCGCCAUAUUACUAUAAAUCACCACCACCACCAAAGCAUUCUCCCCCGCCACCUUACUAUUAUAGAUCUCCACCACCACCAAAGCAUUCUCCCCCACCACCUUACUACUAUAAGUCACCACCUCCACCGAAGAAAUCCCCACCUCCACCAUAUUAUUAUAAGUCGCCACCACCACCAAAGCAUUCUCCCCCACCUCCUUAUUAUUACAAAUCUCCACCACCACCAAAGUAUUCUCCACCACCACCUUACUAAUACAAAUCUCCACCAACGCUAUCUCUAUCCCCACCUCCAUCUUACAUUUAUAAAUUCCCACCUCCACCAUCUAUAUCACCUCCACCACCACCUCCAUCACUGUCACUAUUGCCUCGCUACUGUUCCAAGUCAUCACCACCUCCUGAAGACUACUAAGUUCAAUGUUCCGUCUUCAAACAAAUUUAAAAUUCAAUAAGAAUAAAUUUGUUCCUUCAGUUGCCUUUUUCAUGAAUUUUUAUGUUAAUGUUUUUACGAAUAAUUUUUAAGAAGCGUUCGGUGUAUCAUUGUCAUGUGCAAUAAAAAUUUUCUAACUUAAUGUACCCAAAAAAAAAUGUUCCACAAGAAAUAUUCUAUUGUUUUAUCACAAAUGUGUUGUGGCACAUGUAAUGCGCCUAGAUAAAGUAAUAUUAUGUCUUGAUGAACAAUCAUGCACAACAAUGAUCAUGUACAUAGUUCUUCCAAUGUCAUGAUAAUGUCCAUGCACAUAAUAACAAACUUCUUCCUUGUAAUAUCAAAGAAAAUGAAUAUACAAGCCUCUUAUUCUCUAAUCAUUCACUCAAACAACAUUGUUUUAAUUUAGGUUUUGAUCAAUCUUAAUGCUCAUAAAUGCUAACUACAAAUCAUAUACAAGAUCAACAAAAACCAUAUUUUAAAUGAAUUAGAAAAACAAACAUUAGACUUAACCAAGUAGUUAACCUUUAUUAUUCUCCUAGGUAGAUUACAAGCUAUCACUGAAAAAAAAAAUCAUCUAAAAUGGUGAACAAAUGCGCUCUAAAUCAGUUGCAUUCAUUUGUUCAGCUAAGCAAUAAAAUAACCCUUUUCCAUUUUAACUUAUAUACUUUGGCAUGGUAACUUUAAAUAACACCCUCAACUUGACAAAUUUUAAUAACCAAAGCGAUCAAUAACUGUAAAUCUUGACAAAAUUUUUUACUUUAGUUAAAGCCAUAAACAUAGUAUUAAAUAAAAUGAAAAAAAAGGCCAUAAACAUAGUGUUGAAAUACCUUUAUACUUGUGAACUAACUUUUGAUGUUGAUUAAGCUCAUGUACCCUCAACUUUUGUAUUAUGAAUAUGCUUAUGCCCUAUCUUAGGUCUCCUCUAUGAACUCCUCCAUGAACCACUUUUUUUUUUUUUUUUAAAAAAUAAAUUCAUUAUGAUACUAAGGUAUAAGCAGAAGUAAAAUUCCUUUAAUAUUAUUGUAAUCAGGAUGUGGCUACCUAGGUGAUACAUGAAUUGGUUAUUUGUACAUUUUACUACAUUUUUUUGAGUUUGCUUGCUAUUUUUCUCUUUGUUCCAAUAAUUCCCACACGAGGAUAAUCUCAUUUUAACAAAGAAAGAUACUACUGAAAUACAACAAAACAUAAAUUCUAAUAUACUAGAAAAUUUUUUUUUCUUUGCCUUUUCAUAUCUUAGAGUUAUGUUUUUAUCCUCUUGUAGUGGCAUAUAUGCAUUUUAACUAGAAUAUUCUUAUUUGAGAAUUAUUAAUAAGAGAGUGGUAGACAAAUGAUACAAAACUAUGCUGCUUCACGAUUAACAACACAUUCAAUCGAGUAACGAUAGAGAGUCAAUUCUAACACCACGAGAAAGCAAACAAAAGUUGAAAUAUUUUAGCGAAUACCUUUUAAAGUUUGAAUUAAUAAUAAAAUUGUCCCAAAAAACUGCCUUAAUGGAAUUAAUGUGGAGAUUUAGUGGUAGGGUGCAUCAAUAUCAUUUUCCAGAAAAAAAAUAGUCAAAAUAUGAAAGGUUUGUUCUGCAGGUGGUUGAUAUUGCUGUACAUUAAUAUCAAUGAUACGUACCAAAUUCUAUUAUAAAAUUCAUUAAUGUAUAAGUAGAAUAUUUAAUAAAUUAAUUCCGGGUAAAACGUCGGUGAUAUGAACAGUAGCGAAGCUGCAACCGGGUUAGCUUUUUUUUUUAAUAAAAAAAUAGUUAAUUAUAAUUUAUGAAUUUGCCUUUAUUAAUACUUAAAAAAAUAAAAAUAAAUUUAAUAGCCCACCCCGAUGCUAGCUAAGCUAAAAAUAAAAUAUAUCGAAUAAAUGGUGAAGAGAAAGCUGUAAUAAUUAUCGUAAUUACAGUGAGAAGCUGUAAUUUUCUUGAACACGCUUUGACGUACGAUUAGCAAAAAAGUCGUCUGUCUAUAAGCAAUUGGCCGUACAGCAUCUUAACUAUUCCGUUGACAUUGUAAUUAAUUAAUUGAUGACUUUUCUAUAAUUUCUUUGAACCAAAUGCAGAUAUUUAGUGGGCAACCCGCAACCCUUGCUUGGCAAAAUAUAGGAAAGAAAAACUUGAAAUUUAUAAAUGUUACAUUUUGUUUGGAUGAAUAAUUUUGAGAUAAUGUUUCAGUUUUAGAUUUUGUUACCGAUACCUAAUUAUAAUAAUAAAAAAUAUUGCAUCAUUUUUUUACCAACAGUUACAAUACAUUUUAUUUUUUUUUCUUCUCAAUAUUUAAACUCGAAUAAUCAGUUAAAAGUUGCUCGAGAAUGUUUAAAAGCCAUUUAAGUAUACCACGUCAUUCAUGUUUUGCAAUCAUUCAAUUGUUAAUAAGUUUCCCAUGUGCUGAAAAUAAAUAAAAAUGCACGUGCAUAUGUCAUAUUGUCUCCGAAACCUCACAGCGGAAUGAGUGUAGUACUUGCAAUGCAUGUACUUUAGACUUUGUAUUUCUCUUAUUUAAAUGAUCAAUAAUUUUUCUUUGUCCUUUAAUUAGACGUCAACAGUCGAAGUUGUGGGCAAGUAGUAGGCUAUAUAUAAUAAUUUCCUGGAGAUCUUCCGUCUUCUAAGACAUUGCAAAUGCCAAACGUGAUAACUAUUUUGAUAAUUCAAAUACUACAUAAAAUAUAUGAAGUGUCAGACAAGUCAAAAGAAUUGAUUCUUCACAAUUGUAUAUACGUAUACACACACUUUGCCCAAAUCCCAUUGUAUCCAGGCUGUAAUUUUUAUAUUAAACGAACAUAUUUUAUUUUAUGUCAGCAAUAUUGAUGCAGGCUGGUGGAACAACAGCUUCAGGAUGGUCAACUACCCUUCGGAUCAUUGCAAGUGGGAUGGCAUCACUUGCAAUUCAGAUGGAACCAUAAUCGGGCUAAAAUUAUCAGGGUAUGAUGUUGACUUCAAAAGGUAGUCUUCGUAAAAUUAUCAUGGUAUAAUAUACGUAUUUAUUUUCGCAUACAUAAAUAAAUAACAAAAUUGUAAUUAAUUGGAUACAACUUCAGCUUUUGGACUGGUUUGUGAAAAUCGGAAAAAUUUAAAAAUGCUCCUCUUGAACAAUCAAAAUCUACUUUAUACGUGAACAAAGGGGAUGAUUCGUAAAGAUAAUUCAUCAAUGUUUGAUUACUUUCAGAAAGAUAGACUUCAUUUGAUCUCGUCCCAAAGCAUAAUUUCACUUUGAAUUUGAAAAAGAAUAAUGAAGUUCAUACGAUGCUGUUGUGACCUUUUUUUUUUGUUUUCUUUUUUUCUCGACGUUGUUUUGUGAAUCAUAAGGGUUAAUUUAGUACGGUGGGUUCGCUUGUAUGAAGCGUACUUAUUGUACCAUUCUGUUGCAAGUAAUGAAAAAACGCUAUAAUUUUUUUUAGGUUUCUACAAGUAUUAUGUUAUCUUAUAUCUAACUGUGCAUCUCUAUUCUUUGCUCUCAGUUCAGGUUCUCUAAAAGUAUAUUAAUUAUGAAAAGCAUUAAAGGUUCCGAAACUCUAUUUUGCGGGGAAAAAGAACCUCCAUUUUUGGUUUUUUAUUAUCAUAAGAGGUUUUACUAUGCUCGUAAUAACUUAAUCGAAAUUAAACAUAUCACUGGUCUACAUUUUUUUAUCAGAUUUUGUGCCUUGCUAAUUAAGAUGAGUAUCACCAUCAAAUCAACAAGCUUAUACCUUCAAAGAAAAAUAGACUAUAAGUCGGGAGAAAGAAGAAGAAAAAAAAAAAGAAGCUUCGCAAUUUAUGCUGUUGGUUGUGAGUUCAUGAAACAAAUAAAAAUAUGAAAUCAAACAUUUAUUCAAAAUUUAAAAUUAAAAAAAAAACUCUAUAUCUACAGUAAUCUGUUCAAACCACAUAGGUGGAGCAAUAUAGUUCCAAGACGUGGUUUUAAAACAUGUCUUUGUGAUAAACAAUAUCGUGAUACUUGCGCCAAUUCCCAUGGCAAUAAUUGCCUACAUUUAUCCAAGAUCCAUGGCCAGGUUUAGAAUGUGCUAGUCUUCUUUCACUUUCAUAAAUAACCACUACUAGGUAAUCAGAGUGUCGGUCUAAAUUUUUCGGAGAUACAACGUCAAUGUAUGUGCCCGGAGUUGAAGCUGAACGCGCUUAAAUAUGUUCGGAAUUUGAAGUUGAACGCCUGGAAAAGGAUGCAGACUGAAGAAAGGCAAUUCCUGGAAUUUGUCUUUGGUAAGAAAACAUGGCUGCUUAUGCCCUUUGAAAGACUGAAGAAACCAAAUUGAUUAUUGCUGCAAUUUAGUGGCACAUGUACGAGGAGAGGCAUCCAAUUAAACUUGUUCAUAAAAGUAUUGCUGAUAGUUGCAGCCGAUCUCCAGACAAAAUCUUCGUACAAUUUUAUCCGCCAGCAAUUUCGACCAAGAGACCUUGAUGCAGUUCAGACCAAUUCGCCAGUUGAACAUCAAGUUGCCUAGGCAUUGAGAAUUAGGUCAAUAAAAUAUAUCCUGGGUCACUUACAAAAGAUGAAAUAAGUGAAAAAGGAAAGAUGACGUAAUAAUUUCUUAGUGAGAAAAGUUAGUUAAUUUUCAAUUGCUUUCAUUGUUUUGAUAAUUUUCAAAACAUUUCAUUGCUUUCAUUGCGUAAUUAAGCUUUUUUUGCUUCAAAAUAUUUCAAAUUGUGUUUGUGGGACUACUAAACAAUUAGGACACAACAAUGUUUCGUUCUGGUCUUUUUUUUUUUUUACUUUUUAAUUUAUUUUAAGAAAAUCUUUGUCCAUCUCUCAUCCUGCCAAAUAUAUCGUCUCGUCUUGUUAUCUAGAAUAAUUCUUCAUGCAUCAAUGAGUUUUGACAAAUUUUUAUCUUUUAAAAGUUGUUGUAAUUCAAUAUAGCUAAAAUCUUAAAUACAUACAUGUAGAAUAAUCUAAGCAUUACCUUAUUCGGGGAAAAUCGAGAUUAGAAUCAAUCAAAGCAAUGAUACCUUAUAUCAGUGAGAUAUAUGCAAGACUCACCCAUUGGUACAAACGAAAAUGAUCAAAGUGGAAGCAAAAAUGGAAUCCUCAAAUGUGGUGAUAAUUUAGAUGAUCUCCACUCUCCAUUUGGUUUCAUCUAAUAAGUUAGUGUUUAAUUAAGAAUUUAUUACUCAUUUUAUUAUGAUAUUAAUCAACUGCCGUCCCUUCCAUUAGUUCAUUAUUUUUGAUGGAUUACGAAAGACAGACAAUAAAAUUCUCCAAAACUGUUGUAAGAGUAAUAUUGUAAAAGUUACAUAAAAGUGAGGAUAAGGAUAAUUUGAGGUAUGUUUCAAGAUAUAAAGAUUAAAUAAAUUCUUAACUCAAAAUAAAGAGAUUUAUUUUUUUUAAAAGAGAUUAAAAUGUCAUGAUAAAUAAAUAAGGGAGGUGAUAUUCUGGGCUCUCCCCUGGCUUUUUGUGAUAACAUCUUAAAUUAAUAUAAAUAGUUAAAAUUUUAUUAAAAAAUAAAUUUUUACCUAAUACUCUUUGACAUAGCUAGGAAUAUAGCCUACUUGCAAGAGACUUACAUUCGUUUGCACAGCCCUUUCGUGAAUAUAAAAUUGCUGCCGAAUAAGCAUCUAAUUAAAAGAAUUAGGAAUUUGUCAACGGUAUAAAUUAAAUAUAAAAAACGAGUAAAAGAAUUUGUCAAUGGGAUAUGGGGGGCUAUGGCUUCAAUCGUAGGGGUGGGCAAAUUUCGGAUUCCGAAUCCGAUCGGAUUUUGGAUAAUUCGGAUUGGGAAAAAAUCCAUCCAAAUUCAAUCCGAACCUUAAAUCUGUUUCGAUCCGAGAUAAUUUCGGAUCCGGAUCAGAUUCGGAUGAGUUUGAAUUUCAGAUUAUAUUUCAAGUUCGGAUUAUAUUUUGGAUUCGGAUUAAUUCGGGUUUGGGACCUUUUUACAAUUCUCACAAAAAAAUUAUGAAAUUUAUAAUUAAUGAAAAAUAAUUUCCAUGAUGCUGUCAACAAUAAUUAAUAUUUUGAAAACGCAAUAACGGAAUUUUCAAAAAAAAGAAAAAGAAAACACAGGAACGGUAUUGAUAAAGAAUUUUCAUUAGCCAUUUGUGACUGCUAACUAAAUUGUAACAACUAAGUAAAAUAUAAUAAUAAUAAUAAUACAUGCGGGUAUAUUCAAAGCAACUAAAUCACUUGCGAAUGAUCAAGACAAAUCGUAUAAACAAGUAAAAAAUUCAAAGUUUCAAACGCAAAUCGUCGGGGGCUAUCGGAUUAGUGGAUUACCAUUAACAAGACGAGGUUUAUGUCGGUGUGAGUUGCUCAUUGUGGGUCUGGAUGAUGUCGCGAUGGCUGGGUUUGUGCCAACUAUGAUCCAGCUAGGUUUGUAUCGAAUCUGAUCUCGUCUAGAGGACGUUGUGGCGGCUGGGUUUGUGUCGAAUUCAUUCGGUUUGUCUCGUCGGCGACAUGGUUGUUGGUUGGCUCGUCAGGUUGUGGCCCGUGGGUGUGGUGUGGUUUGUUGUCGUGGAUUGACUUAUCAAAGGGCGUGCGACGAUGGUGUGUGGUUUUGUCAUUUGGAAAUUGAGUUUUGAUUUUUCAUUUUCGUUUUUUUAAAAAAAAAUUUUUGGAUUAUUCGGAUUGAACUGAAUCUUAUCCGAUCCAAAUCAAAUCCGAUCAGAUUACAAAAAUUUCAUCCGAUUGGAUUUUAAAGCAAAUCCAAAUCCGAUCCGAACAAAUUCGGAUCGAAUUGGAUUAGAUCGGAUCUAUCCGAAUCUGAUCCAAUGUCCACCCCUAUUCAAUCGGUUUCUGCAAUGGUUAAUGGCAUAUUUUUGCUCAUCGUCACCACUGCAUUCACUAAUCAUUUGUGCACGUGAAUUGUUUUUGAGCAUUUAUUUUGCCUUCGUUAAAAUUGGGCAUGUAAAAAUUUCAUGAAAAAUGGCCAAAGUGGCUGGCUAGGUGAUAUAAUGGAUGGUUACAACUCAAACCUAGCAAUAAAUGAAUGUCCGACAAGCAUUCAAAUGAAUGUAUAAAACCAAUGAGAUUAGAAUAUCUAUUUAUAAUAGACUAAUUAAAAUACGAUUCAAAUAUAAGGUAAAUAGUCUCUCUAUUAAUUUUUUAUUGUUUCAGGUAGGGUUGUCGAGCCUUUGUCCGGGCUUCUGUAAGCCCAUUUCCAGCCCUCUUAUAUGAUUGGAUUAGAUCAGGCUCGGCCCACCAGGCCGGGCUAAAUCUUGAGCUCUUUUUAAAUAAAAAAAAGUUGAAUUUUAAGUUUUUGAAGUUAAUAUAUAUACACACACACUUGUACUUAAAUAAUUUAUAAAUUUUUUAAAAGCCAAAUAAUAAAAAUAUUGACAUGUAAAAGUACAAUUUUUUUUUCAUGUGGAAUAAUUAUCUCAUUUCUACCUUUUUGGUCCUAUAGAUAUUUCCUCAUUUCAUCUUUGGUAUUAGAGCAGUAGUAAAAAGACACACGAUUAAAGAUAAAUGUGACAUUUUUACCGACAAAUUAACUAUUUGGAUCUAAGAUCUAGCUCUAAUGGUAAAGACUAGUUUUUAUAGAAUUCAGGUCCUGGGUUUGACUUCCAAUUGCGUGGGUAAGCUAAUAAUAAUAAUAAUAAUAAUAACAAAUUAACUAGUUUUAAUUUGCAAAGGUCUUAGAUAAUCAAUUCGUUUGUAAAAACAUCAAAUUUAUUUUCAGUAAUGAAAUUUUCAAGUCACUGGUUUUAGCACUAGGAAUGAAUUAAAUAGAGUAAUGAUAAACAUCUUAAAAUUUUAUCCCAAAUGAUAUGACAUGUAAUGUGUCAUUUAUUAAGUGGUUGGUGAUUUUUCAUAAAUUUUAAGUCGAUUAAUUAUAUUAUUUCACCAACCAAUAAAUGAACAUCACAUCAUUUGAGAAUGAAUUUUAAGGUAAAAUUUUAGAUAUAUAUCAUUACUCAAUUAUUUUUUAUAGUAUAAAAUCUAAUAGGGACCAAAAAUAUAAAAACCAAUUAAGAAAAAAAAAGUCAAUUCCUAAUUAGAAGAAUGAAAGUGUCAUUCUCCUAUAAUCAUUUCUCAAGUUUUUAUAUAAAUUUAUUAAUGCAAAAUUUUAAAAGAAAAUCGGUACCUAAAACUAACGCCUUUGACAAUGCUGCCAAUAUCACUCACAACUUACAAGAAUAAAGAAUUUGUAUUAAAUUUAUUAAUGUUCUCAAAGAAUUUUUAGUUUUGACUUUACAUUCUCAGACCCAUUUGUCACAUAACAUCUUAGCUGAUUAACAAAGCCCUUUCGUGAGAAUAUUAAAACUGCUCUCGAAUAAGCAUCUUAACAACCCCGUUUUUGACAUACAUGCAUGCCUCCUCAUGUCAGCAAAUUUGAAACAUAAAAGAUAAUUUCAAUCGAUGUGAGAGUUGGGAGUAUUUUAUAGCUUUUGACCUCAUUAAUUAUGAGUAAGAGAAUAUUUCUACGUCACUAAUGAUUAAAAUGAUCACUAUAUAUAUAAAGGGUAGCAAAGUAUGUUUAACAUCAAGUCAGAAAACACAAUUUUUAGGAAAUGGGAACUCGGGGACAGGCGAGGCAAUGGCCUCAAUUGUUUUGUGCUAUAGCAUUUUUGCUUAUAGCCACCACGACCAAGGCAUCGGCUGAUGAUUAUGCCUCAGCACCACCACCAAAGUAUUCUUCUCCACCUCUUUACUACUACAAAUCACCACCUCCUCCUUCUCCCUCUCCACCUCCACCAUAUUAUUACAAGUCUCCCCCACCACCAUCUCCGUCUCCUCCACCACCUUACUACUACACGUCACCACCGCCACCAGUGCAUUCUCCCCCGCCACCUUACUACUACAAGUCACCACCGCCACCAGUGCAUUCUCCUCCGCCACCUUACUACUACAAAUCUCCGCCGCCACCAAAGCAUUCUCCCCCGCCACCUUACUACUAUAAGUCACCACCACCACCAGUGCAUUCUCCCCCGCCACCUUAUUACUACAAAUCUCCGCCGCCACCAAAGUAUUCUCCCCCGCCACCUUAUUAUUACAAAUCUCCGCCGCCACCAAAGCAUUCUCCUCCACCACCUUACUACUACAAAUCUCCACCACCACCAAACCAUUCUCCCCCACCACCUUACUACUAUAAGUCACCACCACCACCAAAGCAUUCUCCCCCACCUCCUUAUUACUACAAAUCUCCACCACCACCAAUGUAUUCUCCACCACCACCUUACUAAUACAAAUCUCCGCCAUCGCCAUCUCUAUCCCCGCCUCCAUCUUACAUUUAUAAAUUCCCACAACCAUCAUCUAUACCACCUCCACCAUGACCUCUAUCACGGUCAUUAUUGCUUCCUUACUACUCCAAGUCACCGCCAACUCCUUUAUCUCCACCUUCACCGUAUUACUACAAUCACCCCCACCUCCCAAAGACUACUACGUUCAGUAUCCCUUCUUGAAACAAGUUUAAAAUUCAAUAAGAAUAAAUUUGUUCCUUUGGUUGCCUUUUUUUUUAAUUUUUUACUAAGUUCAAUGCCCCUUCUUGAAACAAGUUUCAAAUUCAAUAAGAAUAAAUUUGUUCCUUUGGUUGCCUUUUUAUGCUUUUUUGUGUCAAUUUUUUUACAAAUAAUUUGUAAGAAGCGUUCAGUGCAUCAUUUGUCAUGUGCAAUAAAAAUCUUCUAACUUAAUGUAUCCCCAAAAAAAAAAAAAAAAAUUGUUCUAUAAGAAUUAUUCUAUUGUUUUAUCACAAAUGUGUUGUGGCGCAUAUAAUGCUCCCGGAUGAAGUAAUAUUAUGUCUUGAUGAACAAUCAUGCACAACAAUGAUCAUGUACAUAGUUCUUCCAACGUCAUGAUAAUGUCCAUGCACAUAAUAACAAACUUCUUCCUCAUAAUAUCAAAGAAAAUGAAGAUACAAGCCUCUUAUUCUUUAGUCAUUCACUCAAACAACAUUGUUUUAACUUAGGUUUUGAUCAAUCUUAAUGCUAAUAAAUGCUAACUACAUAUCAAAUACAAGAUCAACAAAAACCAGAUUUUAAAUUAAUCAGAAAAACAAACACUAGACUUAACCAAGCAGUUAAGCUUUAUUAUUCUCCCUCAGUAAAGGAUACAAAGAUGUAGGUGGAUUACAAGCUAUCACUGAAAAAAUAGAAAUCAUCUAAAAUGGUGAACAAAUGAGCUCUAAAUCUGUUGCACUCAUUUGUUCAACUAAGCAAUGAAAUUACCCUUUUCUAUUUUAACUGCUUGUCUACUUUAACACGGCAACUUUAAAUAACAACCUUCAACUUGAAAAAUUUGAGUAACCAGAGCCAUCAAUAACGGUAAAUCUUGACAAAAAUUUUAGUUUAAUUAAGGCCAUAAACAUAAUAUUAAAUAAUAAAAAAAAAAGGCCAUAAACAUAGUGUUGAAAUACCAUUAUACCUGUGAACGAACUUUUGAUGGUUAUUAAACUCAUGAACCCUCAAUUUUUGUAUUAUGAAUAUGCUCAUGGCCUAUCUUAGGUCUCCUCUAUGAACCACUUUUUUUUUAAAAAAAUUAUAUUCAUUAUGAUACUAAGGUAUAAGUAGAAGUAAAGUUCUUUUAAUAUUUUUGUAACCAGGAUGUGACAACCUAGGUGAUACGUGAAUUGGUUAUUUGCACAUUUUGCUACAUUUUUGUGAGUUUGCUUGCUGGUUUUCUCUUUGUUCCAACAAUUCACACAUAGGAUAAUCUCAUUUUAACAAAGAAAGAUACCACUAAAAUACAACAAAACAUGAUCAAUUCUAAUAUACUAGAAAACUUUUUUUUUUUGUUUGCCUUUUCAUAUAUUAGAGUUGUGUUUUUGUUAUCUUAUAGUGGCAUCUAUGCAGUUUAACUAAAUGAGAAUAUUCUCAUUUGAGAAUUAUUAAUAAGAGAGUAGUAGACAAAUGAUACCCAACUAUACUGCUUCACUAUUAACAACACAUCCAAUUGAGUAAUGAUAGAGAGUCAAUUCUAUCACCAAAUGAAAGCAAACAAAAGCUGAAAUAUUUUAGUGAAUAUCUUUAAAGUUUGAAUUAAUAAUAAAAUUGUCCCAAAAAACUGUCUUAAUGGAACUAAUGUGCGAUUUAUUUGUAGGGUGAAUAAAUAUCAUUUUCCAGAAAAAAAUAUAGUCAAAAUAUGGAAAGCUUGUUCUGCAAGUGGUUGAUAUUGAUGUACAUUAAUGUCAAAGAUACAUUAAGUGCAUGCCAAAUUCUAUUAUAAAAUUUAUAAAUGUAUAAGUAGAAGAUUUUAUAAAUUAAUUCCUGUAAAACGUCGGUUAUAUGAAUAAAUGGUGAAGAGAAAGCUGUAAUAAUUAUCGUAAUUACAAUUUUCUUGAGCACGCUUUGACGUACGAUUAACAAAAAAGGUCUGUAUAUGAGCAAUCGGCCGUACAUUAUCUUAACCACCUGAUUUUGUUUUUUUUUUUUGUAAUUUCAAUCUUGGCCGUUGGAGUCAAUGAAAAGAUCGUUCAAAUGGUAGAGAUUUGUCUAUUUGAUUAUUAACAUUAUGCUUCCCGAUGGUUAUCAAAAACCCAAACAAAUUAAAGAGUUAAAACUUUUAGCACAUAAGUCCGAAUUGUUUCAAAUUUAUGUUGUUUAAUCACUAGUGAGUCUCAAAAAAUAAAUUUAUUUUAAUAUUAUAUAUUUUAUUUAAAAGAAUUAAUUUUUUAUAUCAUUUAUUUUAUUAAAAAUAAAUAUUAUUGAAUACUAAUUAUUCUCAUUUUAUUUAAUAUUAUUUAGUUAUAGGCUUAUUAUUAUAUUUAAUUGUUCAAAAAACUAAAAAAAUUUAAAUAAAAUAAAGUAAUUGAUGGUUGUCGAAGCCAACAAAAAUAAAUUCCUACUCUAAAUAAAUUGUGUAUAGUGAUUGAGCAGGGUCGUGUCCACAGAGAUCGGUAAUUAUUUAAAUCCUUUUGAAACGUAAAACGUAAAAUGGGGGAAUUGUUGACAAUAAUAAAAAUCAAAUUAAAAUAACAAGAAUGCAAAUUAAAGUUGUAAUUCAAAUUGGAGAAAGCUCUGGUUGAAGGAAUUAACUCAGCUUGAUUCGACUACUGAUCAUUGAUUCAAAUAUAGAUUAUUAUUACUCAUGAAUAGACCGGUUAUAGCUACUGAGACCCUCUAAUAGCCAAUCUCUCCUUAACUAGUCGAUAACCAAGGUACGACCGUUGGAUAUUCCCUAAUCAAUAGACAACCCUAGAUACGAUCAUAGAAUUUAAUCAAUUGACAGCCUGAAAAACCAGAAAGACCCAAAUCCUAAUCAACACAUAUGAUGAUUCAUUUAAAUUAAAUUGUUUAUUCUCACAACACAACUCUCUGCUAUGUCAUUUGUCACAAACAUUAAAUUCUUCAUACGAUGAAUCCCUUAAUUGACAAUAGAUUAAGUUGAUAAUUAAAUAGUGGCCAACUGCUGUACGGCCAAGGCGGAUGUACGGUACAGCAGAAUACAUUCCCUUACUCAACUAACAAAGUCUUUCAUUUAUCUGAAAACAGUUCCAAUUUUGAAAUAUCAGUGUCAAACUUUUCCCAGCAACAUAUUUAUCAUCUCUCCACAUUAUCCUUAACUGACAGCAGCUUGGAAGAUCUUCAAUCAGCAAGUUCAGAAAGCAAUGAACAAGUACCUUCUGUUUCUGCACACACAAAUAAUCUGCAUCAACAAGAGCAUUCUNNNNNNNNNNNNNNNNNNNNNNNNNNNNNNNNNNNNNNNNNNNNNNNNNNNNNNNNNNNNNNNNNNNNNNNNNNNNNNNNNNNNNNNNNNNNNNNNNNNNNNNNNNNNNNNNNNNNNNNNNNNNNNNNNNNNNNNNNNNNNNNNNNNNNNNNNNNNNNNNNNNNNNNNNNNNNNNNNNNNNNNNNNNNNNNNNNNNNNNNNNNNNNNNNNNNNNNNNNNNNNNNNNNNNNNNNNNNNNNNNNNNNCAGCAGAAUAAAAUAUUAUUAAUUUUAUUUUUUUUAUUUUGCUAUCUUACUAAUAAUUGGCAAUAAUAAUAAUAAUAAUAAUAAUAAUAAUAAUAUCUUUAAGGUUAAUGAUUUUAUUUUCUAAUUAAUAUGGAUAAUUUUAGAUUUUUAUAAUAUAUAUGACGAUAAACACGAAAUUAAGUAUAAAACUAAUUCUCAAAAUCCGAUUUUAAAAAUCUACUUUUUCCCUACUUUUUAAAAUCUUCAGUAAGAUAAGGUAAAUUUACCAAAAGUGAUUUCUGAAAAUAUUUAUCAAAUAAUAAAAUUAAUUUGUAACUUUUCAAAAUAACUUUUAAAUCUCGCAAAAAAAAAUCCUAAAUGAGUCCUAAGUACCUAACUUUAUGACGGUCAACAAAUAUGGUAUAAAAGUCUUCUACACCUACUGGGCAUUUGAAUGGGCCAUCUGUCUUAGCUCUUACCUCUUAAAAUGGGCUAAAAAUCAGAGAGUCAGUUAACUAAUAUGGGCUAAAAUUUGGGUACACCUCUCGGGCAUGUUAAUGGGCCAUCAUCUUUCACAGGUUUCUAAAGGGUAAAGGCUUUCUGUCUCCCAAGACUUCGACUAGUGAAAUUUAAUCGAUAUAAAUAUGUAGCUACCUAUAUUUAUAUAAGAAAAUGAUGUUCUCAUAAAUUUGCGUGCAAAGAUUUGCACAAAACGGUGCGUUUUGUGCAGCUUUAAAAAUGCUCUUCGUACGUGCACCAAACAACACACAAGCACGCCAAUUCACAACAUCAUUUUCCCACUCGCGUCUGCCUCCUUUCACUGCAACAAAAACCCAGCAGCUUCGUUCUCCACACAGCAAGAAGUCUCCUUAUUAAUAUAAUAUUAUAUAAUAAACUCAACAGAAGUCUCCUUUCUUCCUCCAUUUUUCCUCACGAGAUAGCUCCGAUCUCUCUCCCUCCGUCCUCCUUUCUUCCUUACAAGACAGCUCGGGUCUCUCUCUCUGGCCUCCUUUCUCCCUCACAAGAUAGUUCGGAUCUCUCUUUCCAGUCUCCACGCCGCUAAUAGUCCCAGUUCUAACCUCUCUCGCCCCGCAGCAACCAUAAGAUCUCUCUCUCACCCGUUUCAAUUCAUUGCUCUAAUUGAAAUCUUUAACUCGUUUAGGACAUUGUGCUGAAUUACCUAUGGAUGGUGGUGGUCUUAUGCUUGAGUGUUGUAAAUUAGAAUCAAAUUAUGCAAAACCUGAUGCCUUUGGGAAUCAUGUUUAUUUCAAGCUUCUAUGUUGUGAUUUGAUUAUUUGAUGAAGCACCUGGAAAAUGUAGUUUGCUCCCUCAAAUUAUUUUACUCUGUUGAAUAAAUUGUAUUUGCCAUUAUUUGAAAAGAAUUUAAAAAAAAAUUACAGCCCCGAAACAUUGAGCUUAUGCUAUAAUUUAAGCAUCUCCCUCAUUUAUAGCACAUUUAUUUUCAUAAUUUACGCGACAAUGGAGAACGGAGCCGAGACUGUUAGUGGCAUGGGGAUGAGAGAGAAAAAUAUGAGCUGUUUCGUGAGGUUUUGUUAGGUUUCGUGAGGGAGAAAGGAGAUGGGAGAGAGAGACGCUGAGUUUUGUUGCUCCCCUCACUUGUGUGUGUUUGGUGUUAAAACUUUGCAGCAAAGAGUGGCUUUUAUACUUUGCACAAAACGCACCGUUUUGUGCAAAGUUUUGUGCAAAGUGUUGUGAGAACAUCAUUUUCCAUUUAAAUAUUGGCUUUUCAUUUUUUUUCAAAUGAGAAUUGAUCCAGUGUGCACCAUCAUGCACAGCACAAGGUAUAUUUUCAUCAGUGGGCGCUAGGUCUCAUAGAUUGGUUCUCUCUAAUAAGAACAUGUCGUCUGUUGUCCCGCGCUAGAUCGAAUGCGUUUUCAAAUUUGUCAAAUUACAUUUUGAGCAUGUCAUAGUGGACGUUAUUACAAAGUCGUCAAUCUCAAUACAAUAAUCAUGACAUCAGGUUUUGAGAAUGUGAAUAAAACUCAUAUUUAUUUGAUAAAAUAUAAUUUAAAAAUAAAAAUAAAAUAUGUAUAUUCUAUAUAAUUUGAUAAUAAAAAAUAGAAAUCUCAUUUUUAUAUUGGGUUGGGAAUGAGGAUUCCUAUUUCUUGAACUGACUUUUAUAUCUCUCUAUUUUUUUCAUAUUUUUUAAAUUAUUCUCGUUUAAAUCACAAUUAAUUUGAUUACUGCUGUACGGCCAAGGCGGAUGCAAUAGAAUUGCACCUACAAAAGUAAAACAUAAGUAAAUCACUAUUAUUAAGUGCAAAACAUUGAUAUUAAGGGAAGUAAAUAAUGCAAAACUAGUGCAUAAAUUGCACUCUAACAGUAAUCAGUAAUCAGCAUUAAAAAUUAAAUUAAAUUAAAUUUUUUUGUUUUUAAUAUUAUUUAGUUAUAGACUUAUUAUUAUAUUUAUUCGUUCAUAAAACUAAAUAAUGUUAAAUCAAAUAAAAUAAUCAGGAAUGGUUCUUAAAAAAUUAAUAUUAUUUAUUUUAUUUUAUUUAAUAUUAUUUAGUCAUAGCCUAUUAUUCUGUUUAUUUUUUGAAAAUUAAAUAAUAUUAAAUAAAAAUCCCCCCUUUUCACAAUAGAUUCCUCCCUUCAAUACUCUCUCUCUCCUCUCUUUUAGAAUUCUAUUUAAAAUAAAAUACUAAUAUCUGAAAUAUUAAAUUCGUAAUUACAAAAAUAACCAAAAAUACAAAAUACGUUAAACUAAAAACUGCAGGUCCGCAGUUGACAGCACGCGCCCACGCCUUAUCAACAAAGUUCUUCUGACGCUCAUAAUUUCUCCAAGAGAACAAUCAUCCUUAAACAUCAUCUUAUAGCUCAAUUUUAUCAUCAAUCAAUAGAAUUACACCUACAAAAGUAAAACACAAGUAAAACAUUAUUAUUAAGUGCAAAACAUCGAUAUUAAGGGAAGUAAACAAUGCAAAACUAGUGCAUAAAUUGCACUCUAACAAAUUCCCCCACACCAAGAUGAUGCUUGUCCUCAAGCAUAUAACUCAAGACUAAUCUCAAAUCUCCACUAAAUUCUCAUCUCAACUCAUCCAAAAAUAAUUUUAAGCAAGCAUACCUCAAGAAAUUAAGUCGAUCAACAUUCGAGAGACAAGGAUUUUUAAAGCAUAGAAUCUCAUAAGAUAGAAUAAGAACAUUCAACCACCAAGAAGAUCCAUUCAAAAUUCAAGUGCAACAAGAUGUAAUAGCCCUCUCAAUAACUUCACUCCAUGCACUCAAAGUGUUUAGGGUAUCAUUUAUGCACUCAAAUCAAAUCAAAGAAUGCUAUUACCAUAAGCUUGCUCAUAUAUCACAUCUCAAUCCACAAAACAUGAAUAAAAUGAAAAAAUCUAAGGGUCUUAAAAGGGUUGUAAUGGGGUUAAAUAGGUUAAAUGAAAAAGAAAGGUCUAUGAAAGAAAAAGAGAUCAAAAUGAGAAGAAUGAACUCAUUGAAUGAACUUAUGAUAUCAAAAUGCUCCUUGGCCGUACAGCAGGAAUGGUUCUUAAAAAAUUAAUAUUAUUUAUUUUAUUUUAUUUAAUAUUAUUUAGUCAUAGCCUAUUAUUCUGUUUAUUUUUUGAAAAUUAAAUAAUAUUAAAUAAAAUAGAAUAGAAAAUGUGAGUCCUUAAAAAUAAAAAUUAUUUUUAAUAUUAUUUAUUUUAUUUAAAAGAAUAAAUUUUUUAAUAUUUUUAUUUUAUUAAAAAAUAUUAUUUAAUAUUAUCUAGUCAUAGGCUUAUUAUUAUAUUUCUUCUUUUAGAAAGUUAAAUAGUAUUAAAUGAAAUAAAAUUACAUUUUAGAAGGUCAUUAGCCAAAGCACAUAAACUUAUAAACAAAUGGAAAUAAAAAAGGUAAAUAAUAUUCAAUAAAAUAAAAUUACAUUUUAAAAGGUCACCAACCAAAGCACAUAAUAUUAUAACAAAAAUGUAAAUAAAAAAGAAAGUAAGAGAUUCAAUGAAAUUUAACAUCACAAAAGACAAUUUCAAAAAUUGGGGGUAGCUUGCAACUGUUGCAAAGUGGCUGGUUCCAUAAUUUUGAGAUAAUGUUUCGGUUUCAAAUAUUGUUAUCGAUACCUAAUUAUAAGUAAUAAAAAAAUAUUGUAUAAUUUUUUUACCAACAUUUACAAUACAUUUUAUUUUGAUUUCUGAAAAAAAUAGAUAAAACACAAAUUAAUUAUUUUAACCCUCUAUUCUCUCAAUAUUUAAACUCGAAUAAUCAGUUAAAAGUUGCUCGAGAAUGUUUAAAAGCCAUUUAAGUAUACCACGUCAUUCAUGUUUUGCAAUCAUUCAAUUGUUAAUAAGUUUCCCAUGUGCUGAAAAUAAAUAAAAAUGCACGUGCAUAUGUCAUAUUGUCUCCGAAACCUCACAGCGGAAUGAGUGUAGUACUUGCAAUGCAUGUACUUUAGACUUUGUAUUUCUCUUAUUUAAAUGAUCAAUAAUUUUUCUUUGUCCUUUAAUUAGACGUCAACAGUCGAAGUUGUGGGCAAGUAGUAGGCUAUAUAUAAUAAUUUCCUGGAGAUCUUCCGUCUUCUAAGACAUUGCAAAUGCCAAACGUGAUAACUAUUUUGAUAAUUCAAAUACUACAUAAAAUAUAUGAAGUGUCAGACAAGUCAAAAGAAUUGAUUCUUCACAAUUGUAUAUACGUAUACACACACUUUGCCCAAAUCCCAUUGUAUCCAGGCUGUAAUUUUUAUAUUAAACGAACAUAUUUUAUUUUAUGUCAGCAAUAUUGAUGCAGGCUGGUGGAACAACAGCUUCAGGAUGGUCAACUACCCUUCGGAUCAUUGCAAGUGGGAUGGCAUCACUUGCAAUUCAGAUGGAACCAUAAUCGGGCUAAAAUUAUCAGGGUAUGAUGUUGACUUCAAAAGGUAGUCUUCGUAAAAUUAUCAUGGUAUAAUAUACGUAUUUAUUUUCGCAUACAUAAAUAAAUAACAAAAUUGUAAUUAAUUGGAUACAACUUCAGCUUUUGGACUGGUUUGUGAAAAUCGGAAAAAUUUAAAAAUGCUCCUCUUGAACAAUCAAAAUCUACUUUAUACGUGAACAAAGGGGAUGAUUCGUAAAGAUAAUUCAUCAAUGUUUGAUUACUUUCAGAAAGAUAGACUUCAUUUGAUCUCGUCCCAAAGCAUAAUUUCACUUUGAAUUUGAAAAAGAAUAAUGAAGUUCAUACGAUGCUGUUGUGACCUUUUUUUUUUGUUUUCUUUUUUUCUCGACGUUGUUUUGUGAAUCAUAAGGGUUAAUUUAGUACGGUGGGUUCGCUUGUAUGAAGCGUACUUAUUGUACCAUUCUGUUGCAAGUAAUGAAAAAACGCUAUAAUUUUUUUUAGGUUUCUACAAGUAUUAUGUUAUCUUAUAUCUAACUGUGCAUCUCUAUUCUUUGCUCUCAGUUCAGGUUCUCUAAAAGUAUAUUAAUUAUGAAAAGCAUUAAAGGUUCCGAAACUCUAUUUUGCGGGGAAAAAGAACCUCCAUUUUUGGUUUUUUAUUAUCAUAAGAGGUUUUACUAUGCUCGUAAUAACUUAAUCGAAAUUAAACAUAUCACUGGUCUACAUUUUUUUAUCAGAUUUUGUGCCUUGCUAAUUAAGAUGAGUAUCACCAUCAAAUCAACAAGCUUAUACCUUCAAAGAAAAAUAGACUAUAAGUCGGGAGAAAGAAGAAGAAAAAAAAAAAGAAGCUUCGCAAUUUAUGCUGUUGGUUGUGAGUUCAUGAAACAAAUAAAAAUAUGAAAUCAAACAUUUAUCCAAAAUUUAAAAUUAAAAAAAAACUCUAUAUCUACAGUAAUCUGUUCAAACCACAUAGGUGGAGCAAUAGAGUUCCAAGACGUGGUUUUAAAACAUGUCUUUGUGAUAAACAAUAUCGUGAUACUUGCGCCAAUUCCCAUGCCAAUAAUUGCCUACAUUUAUCCAAGAUCCAUGGCCAGGUUUAGAAUGUGCUAGUCUUCUUUCACUUUCAUAAAUAACCACUACUAGGUAAUCAGAGUGUCGGUCUAAAUUUUUCGGAGAUACAACGUCAAUGUAUGUGCCCGGAGUUGAAGCUGAACGCGCUUAAAUAUGUUCGGAAUUUGAAGUUGAACGCCUGGAAAAGGAUGCAGACUGAAGAAAGGCAAUUCCUGGAAUUUGUCUUUGGUAAGAAAACAUGGCUGCUUAUGCCCUUUGAAAGACUGAAGAAACCAAAUUGAUUAUUGCUGCAAUUUAGUGGCACGUGUACAAGGAGAGGCAUCCGAUUAAACUUGUUCAUAAAAUUAUUGCUGAUAGUUGCAGCCGAUCUCCAUGAAGUACAAACCCAACGCAAAGAAACAAAGUGUUCGUACAAUUUUAUCCGCCAGCAAUUUCGACCAAGAGACCUUGAUGCAGUUCAGACCAAUUCGCCAGUUGAACAUCAAGUUGCCUAGGCAUUGAGAAUUAGGUCAAUAAAAUAUAUCCUGGGUCACUUACAAAAGAUGAAAUAAGUGAAAAAGGAAAGAUGACGUAAUAAUUUCUUAGUGAGAAAAGUUAGUUAAUUUUCAAUUGCUUUCAUUGUUUUGAUAAUUUUCAAAACAUUUCAUUGCUUUCAUUGCGUAAUUAAGCUUUUUUUGCUUCAAAAUAUUUCAAAUUGUGUUUGUGGGACUACUAAACAAUUAGGACACAACAAUGUUUCGUUCUGGUCUUUUUUUUUUUUUACUUUUUAAUUUAUUUUAAGAAAAUCUUUGUCCAUCUCUCAUCCUGCCAAAUAUAUCGUCUCGUCUUGUUAUCUAGAAUAAUUCUUCAUGCAUCAAUGAGUUUUGACAAAUUUUUAUCUUUUAAAAGUUGUUGUAAUUCAAUAUAGCUAAAAUCUUAAAUACAUACAUGUAGAAUAAUCUAAGCAUUACCUUAUUCGGGGAAAAUCGAGAUUAGAAUCAAUCAAAGCAAUGAUACCUUAUAUCAGUGAGAUAUAUGCAAGACUCACCCAUUGGUACAAACGAAAAUGAUCAAAGUGGAAGCAAAAAUGGAAUCCUCAAAUGUGGUGAUAAUUUAGAUGAUCUCCACUCUCCAUUUGGUUUCAUCUAAUAAGUUAGUGUUUAAUUAAGAAUUUAUUACUCAUUUUAUUAUGAUAUUAAUCAACUGCCGUCCCUUCCAUUAGUUCAUUAUUUUUGAUGGAUUACGAAAGACAGACAAUAAAAUUCUCCAAAACUGUUGUAAGAGUAAUAUUGUAAAAGUUACAUAAAAGUGAGGAUAAGGAUAAUUUGAGGUAUGUUUCAAGAUAUAAAGAUUAAAUAAAUUCUUAACUCAAAAUAAAGAGAUUUAUUUUUUUUAAAAGAGAUUAAAAUGUCAUGAUAAAUAAAUAAGGGAGGUGAUAUUCUGGGCUCUCCCCUGGCUUUUUGUGAUAACAUCUUAAAUUAAUAUAAAUAGUUAAAAUUUUAUUAAAAAAUAAAUUUUUACCUAAUACUCUUUGACAUAGCUAGGAAUAUAGCCUACUUGCAAGAGACUUACAUUCGUUUGCACAGCCCUUUCGUGAAUAUAAAAUUGCUGCCGAAUAAGCAUCUAAUUAAAAGAAUUAGGAAUUUGUCAACGGUAUAAAUUAAAUAUAAAAAACGAGUAAAAGAAUUUGUCAAUGGGAUAUGGGGGGCUAUGGCUUCAAUCGUAGGGGUGGGCAAAUUUCGGAUUCCGAAUCCGAUCGGAUUUUGGAUAAUUCGGAUUGGGAAAAAAUCCAUCCAAAUUCAAUCCGAACCUUAAAUCUGUUUCGAUCCGAGAUAAUUUCGGAUCCGGAUCAGAUUCGGAUGAGUUUGAAUUUCAGAUUAUAUUUCAAGUUCGGAUUAUAUUUUGGAUUCGGAUUAAUUCGGGUUUGGGACCUUUUUACAAUUCUCACAAAAAAAUUAUGAAAUUUAUAAUUAAUGAAAAAUAAUUUCCAUGAUGCUGUCAACAAUAAUUAAUAUUUUGAAAACGCAAUAACGGAAUUUUCAAAAAAAAGAAAAAGAAAACACAGGAACGGUAUUGAUAAAGAAUUUUCAUUAGCCAUUUGUGACUGCUAACUAAAUUGUAACAACUAAGUAAAAUAUAAUAAUAAUAAUAAUACAUGCGGGUAUAUUCAAAGCAACUAAAUCACUUGCGAAUGAUCAAGACAAAUCGUAUAAACAAGUAAAAAAUUCAAAGUUUCAAACGCAAAUCGUCGGGGGCUAUCGGAUUAGUGGAUUACCAUUAACAAGACGAGGUUUAUGUCGGUGUGAGUUGCUCAUUGUGGGUCUGGAUGAUGUCGCGAUGGCUGGGUUUGUGCCAACUAUGAUCCAGCUAGGUUUGUAUCGAAUCUGAUCUCGUCUAGAGGACGUUGUGGCGGCUGGGUUUGUGUCGAAUUCAUUCGGUUUGUCUCGUCGGCGACAUGGUUGUUGGUUGGCUCGUCAGGUUGUGGCCCGUGGGUGUGGUGUGGUUUGUUGUCGUGGAUUGACUUAUCAAAGGGCGUGCGACGAUGGUGUGUGGUUUUGUCAUUUGGAAAUUGAGUUUUGAUUUUUCAUUUUCGUUUUUUUAAAAAAAAAUUUUUGGAUUAUUCGGAUUGAACUGAAUCUUAUCCGAUCCAAAUCAAAUCCGAUCAGAUUACAAAAAUUUCAUCCGAUUGGAUUUUAAAGCAAAUCCAAAUCCGAUCCGAACAAAUUCGGAUCGAAUUGGAUUAGAUCGGAUCUAUCCGAAUCUGAUCCAAUGUCCACCCCUAUUCAAUCGGUUUCUGCAAUGGUUAAUGGCAUAUUUUUGCUCAUCGUCACCACUGAAUCCACUGAUCAUUUGUGCAUGUGAGUUGUUUUUGAGCAUUUAUUUUUCCCUUUAGAAGCAUAAGGAUAAGGCUAGUCUUCUUUUUGGGAGGACUUAUUGCUUCCAUUCGUUAAAAUUGGGCAUGUAAAAUGUCAAGAAAAAAUGGCCUAAGUGGCUAGCUAGAUGAUAUAAUGGAUGGUUACUACUCAAACCUAGCAAUAAAUGAAUGUCCGACAAGCAUUCAAAUGAAUGAAUAAAACCAAUCAGAUUAGAAUAUCUAUUUAUGAUAGAUUAAUGAAAAUACGAUUCAAAUAUAAGGUAAAUAAUCUCUCCAUUAAUUUUUUAUUGUUUCAGGCAGGGUUGCCAAGCCUCUGUCCGGGCUUCUAUAAGCUCAAUUCCAGCUCUCCUAUAUGAUUGAAUUAGAUCGGGCUAGGCCCUCGGACUUUUUAAUUAAAAAAGGUCGAUUUUUAAGUUUAUGAAGUUAAUACACUCACGCUUAUACUUUAAUAUUUUUAUUAUUUGGCUUUUAGAAUAUUAACGUGUAAAUUACUUUUUUUUUUCAAGUGAAAUAAUUAUCACAUUUUGUCUUCUUAGUAUAUAUUUCUACCUUUUUGUUCCUAUAGAUAUUUCCUCAUUUCAUCUUUGGUACUAGAGCGUAGUAAAAAAACACAUGAUUAAAGAUAAAUAUGACAUUUUAACUAACAAAUUAAUUAUUUGUAUCUAAGAUCUAGCUCUAGUGGUAAAGAUCAAUUUUCAUCGAAUUCAAGUCUUGGGUUUGAAUUUAAAUGCAUGGGUAAGUUAAUAAUAAUAAUAAUAAUAAUAAUAAUAAUAAUAAUAAUAAUAAUAAUAAUAAUAAUAAUAAUAAUAAUAAUAAUAAUAAUAAUAAUAAUAAUAAUAAUAAUAAUAAUAAUAAUAAUAAUAAUAAUAAUAAUAAUAAUAAUAAUAAUAAUAAUAAUAAUAAUAAUAAUAAUAAUAAUAAUAAUAAUAAUAAUAAUAAUAAUAAUAAUAAUAAUAAUAAUAAUAAUAAUAAUAAUAAUAAUAAUAAUAAUAAUAAUAAUAAUAAUAAUAAUAAUAAUAAUAAUAAUAAUAAUAAUAAUAAUAAUAAUAAUAAUAAUAAUAAUAAUAAUAAUAAUAAUAAUAAUAAUAAUAAUAAUAAUAAUAAUAAUAAUAAUAAUAAUAAUAAUAAUAAUAAUAAUAAUAAUAAUAAUAAUAAUAAUAAUAAUAAUAAUAAUAAUAAUAAUAAUAAUAAUAAUAAUAAUAAUAAUAAUAAUAAUAAUAAUAAUAAUAAUAAUAAUAAUAAUAAUAAUAAUAAUAAUAAUAAUAAUAAUAAUAAUAAUAAUAAUAAUAAUAAUAAUAAUAAUAAUAAUAAUAAUAAUAAUAAUAAUAAUAAUAAUAAUAAUAAUAAUAAUAAUAAUAAUAAUAAUAAUAAUAAUAAUAAUAAUAAUAAUAAUAAUAAUAAUAAUAAUAAUAAUAAUAAUAAUAAUAAUAAUAAUAAUAAUAAUAAUAAUAAUAAUAAUAAUAAUAAUAAUAAUAAUAAUAAUAAUAAUAAUAAUAAUAAUAAUAAUAAUAAUAAUAAUAAUAAUAAUAAUAAUAAUAAUAAUAAUAAUAAUAAUAAUAAUAAUAAUAAUAAUAAUAAUAAUAAUAAUAAUAAUAAUAAUAAUAAUAAUAAUAAUAAUAAUAAUAAUAAUAAUAAUAAUAAUAAUAAUAAUAAUAAUAAUAAUAAUAAUAAUAAUAAUAAUAAUAAUAAUAAUAAUAAUAAUAAUAAUAAUAAUAAUAAUAAUAAUAAUAAUAAUAAUAAUAAUAAUAAUAAUAAUAAUAAUAAUAAUAAUAAUAAUAAUAAUAAUAAUAAUAAUAAUAAUAAUAAUAAUAAUAAUAAUAAUAAUAAUAAUAAUAAUAAUAAUAAUAAUAAUAAUAAUAAUAAUAAUAAUAAUAAUAAUAAUAAUAAUAAUAAUAAUAAUAAUAAUAAUAAUAAUAAUAAUAAUAAUAAUAAUAAUAAUAAUAAUAAUAAUAAUAAUAAUAAUAAUAAUAAUAAUAAUAAUAAUAAUAAUAAUAAUAAUAAUAAUAAUAAUAAUAAUAAUAAUAAUAAUAAUAAUAAUAAUAAUAAUAAUAAUAAUAAUAAUAAUAAUAAUAAUAAUAAUAAUAAUAAUAAUAAUAAUAAUAAUAAUAAUAAUAAUAAUAAUAAUAAUAAUAAUAAUAAUAAUAAUAAUAAUAAUAAUAAUAAUAAUAAUAAUAAUAAUAAUAAUAAUAAUAAUAAUAAUAAUAAUAAUAAUAAUAAUAAUAAUAAUAAUAAUAAUAAUAAUAAUAAUAAUAAUAAUAAUAAUAAUAAUAAUAAUAAUAAUAAUAAUAAUAAUAAUAAUAAUAAUAAUAAUAAUAAUAAUAAUAAUAAUAAUAAUAAUAAUAAUAAUAAUAAUAAUAAUAAUAAUAAUAAUAAUAAUAAUAAUAAUAAUAAUAAUAAUAAUAAUAAUAAUAAUAAUAAUAAUAAUAAUAAUAAUAAUAAUAAUAAUAAUAAUAAUAAUAAUAAUAAUAAUAAUAAUAAUAAUAAUAAUAAUAAUAAUAAUAAUAAUAAUAAUAAUAAUAAUAAUAAUAAUAAUAAUAAUAAUAAUAAUAAUAAUAAUAAUAAUAAUAAUAAUAAUAAUAAUAAUAAUAAUAAUAAUAAUAAUAAUAAUAAUAAUAAUAAUAAUAAUAAUAAUAAUAAUAAUAAUAAUAAUAAUAAUAAUAAUAAUAAUAAUAAUAAUAAUAAUAAUAAUAAUAAUAAUAAUAAUAAUAAUAAUAAUAAUAAUAAUAAUAAUAAUAAUAAUAAUAAUAAUAAUAAUAAUAAUAAUAAUAAUAAUAAUAAUAAUAAUAAUAAUAAUAAUAAUAAUAAUAAUAAUAAUAAUAAUAAUAAUAAUAAUAAUAAUAAUAAUAAUAAUAAUAAUAAUAAUAAUAAUAAUAAUAAUAAUAAUAAUAAUAAUAAUAAUAAUAAUAAUAAUAAUAAUAAUAAUAAUAAUAAUAAUAAUAAUAAUAAUAAUAAUAAUAAUAAUAAUAAUAAUAAUAAUAAUAAUAAUAAUAAUAAUAAUAAUAAUAAUAAUAAUAAUAAUAAUAAUAAUAAUAAUAAUAAUAAUAAUAAUAAUAAUAAUAAUAAUAAUAAUAAUAAUAAUAAUAAUAAUAAUAAUAAUAAUAAUAAUAAUAAUAAUAAUAAUAAUAAUAAUAAUAAUAAUAAUAAUAAUAAUAAUAAUAAUAAUAAUAAUAAUAAUAAUAAUAAUAAUAAUAAUAAUAAUAAUAAUAAUAAUAAUAAUAAUAAUAAUAAUAAUAAUAAUAAUAAUAAUAAUAAUAAUAAUAAUAAUAAUAAUAAUAAUAAUAAUAAUAAUAAUAAUAAUAAUAAUAAUAAUAAUAAUAAUAAUAAUAAUAAUAAUAAUAAUAAUAAUAAUAAUAAUAAUAAUAAUAAUAAUAAUAAUAAUAAUAAUAAUAAUAAUAAUAAUAAUAAUAAUAAUAAUAAUAAUAAUAAUAAUAAUAAUAAUAAUAAUAAUAAUAAUAAUAAUAAUAAUAAUAAUAAUAAUAAUAAUAAUAAUAAUAAUAAUAAUAAUAAUAAUAAUAAUAAUAAUAAUAAUAAUAAUAAUAAUAAUAAUAAUAAUAAUAAUAAUAAUAAUAAUAAUAAUAAUAAUAAUAAUAAUAAUAAUAAUAAUAAUAAUAAUAAUAAUAAUAAUAAUAAUAAUAAUAAUAAUAAUAAUAAUAAUAAUAAUAAUAAUAAUAAUAAUAAUAAUAAUAAUAAUAAUAAUAAUAAUAAUAAUAAUAAUAAUAAUAAUAAUAAUAAUAAUAAUAAUAAUAAUAAUAAUAAUAAUAAUAAUAAUAAUAAUAAUAAUAAUAAUAAUAAUAAUAAUAAUAAUAAUAAUAAUAAUAAUAAUAAUAAUAAUAAUAAUAAUAAUAAUAAUAAUAAUAAUAAUAAUAAUAAUAAUAAUAAUAAUAAUAAUAAUAAUAAUAAUAAUAAUAAUAAUAAUAAUAAUAAUAAUAAUAAUAAUAAUAAUAAUAAUAAUAAUAAUAAUAAUAAUAAUAAUAAUAAUAAUAAUAAUAAUAAUAAUAAUAAUAAUAAUAAUAAUAAUAAUAAUAAUAAUAAUAAUAAUAAUAAUAAUAAUAAUAAUAAUAAUAAUAAUAAUAAUAAUAAUAAUAAUAAUAAUAAUAAUAAUAAUAAUAAUAAUAAUAAUAAUAAUAAUAAUAAUAAUAAUAAUAAUAAUAAUAAUAAUAAUAAUAAUAAUAAUAAUAAUAAUAAUAAUAAUAAUAAUAAUAAUAAUAAUAAUAAUAAUAAUAAUAAUAAUAAUAAUAAUAAUAAUAAUAAUAAUAAUAAUAAUAAUAAUAAUAAUAAUAAUAAUAAUAAUAAUAAUAAUAAUAAUAAUAAUAAUAAUAAUAAUAAUAAUAAUAAUAAUAAUAAUAAUAAUAAUAAUAAUAAUAAUAAUAAUAAUAAUAAUAAUAAUAAUAAUAAUAAUAAUAAUAAUAAUAAUAAUAAUAAUAAUAAUAAUAAUAAUAAUAAUAAUAAUAAUAAUAAUAAUAAUAAUAAUAAUAAUAAUAAUAAUAAUAAUAAUAAUAAUAAUAAUAAUAAUAAUAAUAAUAAUAAUAAUAAUAAUAAUAAUAAUAAUAAUAAUAAUAAUAAUAAUAAUAAUAAUAAUAAUAAUAAUAAUAAUAAUAAUAAUAAUAAUAAUAAUAAUAAUAAUAAUAAUAAUAAUAAUAAUAAUAAUAAUAAUAAUAAUAAUAAUAAUAAUAAUAAUAAUAAUAAUAAUAAUAAUAAUAAUAAUAAUAAUAAUAAUAAUAAUAAUAAUAAUAAUAAUAAUAAUAAUAAUAAUAAUAAUAAUAAUAAUAAUAAUAAUAAUAAUAAUAAUAAUAAUAAUAAUAAUAAUAAUAAUAAUAAUAAUAAUAAUAAUAAUAAUAAUAAUAAUAAUAAUAAUAAUAAUAAUAAUAAUAAUAAUAAUAAUAAUAAUAAUAAUAAUAAUAAUAAUAAUAAUAAUAAUAAUAAUAAUAAUAAUAAUAAUAAUAAUAAUAAUAAUAAUAAUAAUAAUAAUAAUAAUAAUAAUAAUAAUAAUAAUAAUAAUAAUAAUAAUAAUAAUAAUAAUAAUAAUAAUAAUAAUAAUAAUAAUAAUAAUAAUAAUAAUAAUAAUAAUAAUAAUAAUAAUAAUAAUAAUAAUAAUAAUAAUAAUAAUAAUAAUAAUAAUAAUAAUAAUAAUAAUAAUAAUAAUAAUAAUAAUAAUAAUAAUAAUAAUAAUAAUAAUAAUAAUAAUAAUAAUAAUAAUAAUAAUAAUAAUAAUAAUAAUAAUAAUAAUAAUAAUAAUAAUAAUAAUAAUAAUAAUAAUAAUAAUAAUAAUAAUAAUAAUAAUAAUAAUAAUAAUAAUAAUAAUAAUAAUAAUAAUAAUAAUAAUAAUAAUAAUAAUAAUAAUAAUAAUAAUAAUAAUAAUAAUAAUAAUAAUAAUAAUAAUAAUAAUAAUAAUAAUAAUAAUAAUAAUAAUAAUAAUAAUAAUAAUAAUAAUAAUAAUAAUAAUAAUAAUAAUAAUAAUAAUAAUAAUAAUAAUAAUAAUAAUAAUAAUAAUAAUAAUAAUAAUAAUAAUAAUAAUAAUAAUAAUAAUAAUAAUAAUAAUAAUAAUAAUAAUAAUAAUAAUAAUAAUAAUAAUAAUAAUAAUAAUAAUAAUAAUAAUAAUAAUAAUAAUAAUAAUAAUAAUAAUAAUAAUAAUAAUAAUAAUAAUAAUAAUAAUAAUAAUAAUAAUAAUAAUAAUAAUAAUAAUAAUAAUAAUAAUAAUAAUAAUAAUAAUAAUAAUAAUAAUAAUAAUAAUAAUAAUAAUAAUAAUAAUAAUAAUAAUAAUAAUAAUAAUAAUAAUAAUAAUAAUAAUAAUAAUAAUAAUAAUAAUAAUAAUAAUAAUAAUAAUAAUAAUAAUAAUAAUAAUAAUAAUAAUAAUAAUAAUAAUAAUAAUAAUAAUAAUAAUAAUAAUAAUAAUAAUAAUAAUAAUAAUAAUAAUAAUAAUAAUAAUAAUAAUAAUAAUAAUAAUAAUAAUAAUAAUAAUAAUAAUAAUAAUAAUAAUAAUAAUAAUAAUAAUAAUAAUAAUAAUAAUAAUAAUAAUAAUAAUAAUAAUAAUAAUAAUAAUAAUAAUAAUAAUAAUAAUAAUAAUAAUAAUAAUAAUAAUAAUAAUAAUAAUAAUAAUAAUAAUAAUAAUAAUAAUAAUAAUAAUAAUAAUAAUAAUAAUAAUAAUAAUAAUAAUAAUAAUAAUAAUAAUAAUAAUAAUAAUAAUAAUAAUAAUAAUAAUAAUAAUAAUAAUAAUAAUAAUAAUAAUAAUAAUAAUAAUAAUAAUAAUAAUAAUAAUAAUAAUAAUAAUAAUAAUAAUAAUAAUAAUAAUAAUAAUAAUAAUAAUAAUAAUAAUAAUAAUAAUAAUAAUAAUAAUAAUAAUAAUAAUAAUAAUAAUAAUAAUAAUAAUAAUAAUAAUAAUAAUAAUAAUAAUAAUAAUAAUAAUAAUAAUAAUAAUAAUAAUAAUAAUAAUAAUAAUAAUAAUAAUAAUAAUAAUAAUAAUAAUAAUAAUAAUAAUAAUAAUAAUAAUAAUAAUAAUAAUAAUAAUAAUAAUAAUAAUAAUAAUAAUAAUAAUAAUAAUAAUAAUAAUAAUAAUAAUAAUAAUAAUAAUAAUAAUAAUAAUAAUAAUAAUAAUAAUAAUAAUAAUAAUAAUAAUAAUAAUAAUAAUAAUAAUAAUAAUAAUAAUAAUAAUAAUAAUAAUAAUAAUAAUAAUAAUAAUAAUAAUAAUAAUAAUAAUAAUAAUAAUAAUAAUAAUAAUAAUAAUAAUAAUAAUAAUAAUAAUAAUAAUAAUAAUAAUAAUAAUAAUAAUAAUAAUAAUAAUAAUAAUAAUAAUAAUAAUAAUAAUAAUAAUAAUAAUAAUAAUAAUAAUAAUAAUAAUAAUAAUAAUAAUAAUAAUAAUAAUAAUAAUAAUAAUAAUAAUAAUAAUAAUAAUAAUAAUAAUAAUAAUAAUAAUAAUAAUAAUAAUAAUAAUAAUAAUAAUAAUAAUAAUAAUAAUAAUAAUAAUAAUAAUAAUAAUAAUAAUAAUAAUAAUAAUAAUAAUAAUAAUAAUAAUAAUAAUAAUAAUAAUAAUAAUAAUAAUAAUAAUAAUAAUAAUAAUAAUAAUAAUAAUAAUAAUAAUAAUAAUAAUAAUAAUAAUAAUAAUAAUAAUAAUAAUAAUAAUAAUAAUAAUAAUAAUAAUAAUAAUAAUAAUAAUAAUAAUAAUAAUAAUAAUAAUAAUAAUAAUAAUAAUAAUAAUAAUAAUAAUAAUAAUAAUAAUAAUAAUAAUAAUAAUAAUAAUAAUAAUAAUAAUAAUAAUAAUAAUAAUAAUAAUAAUAAUAAUAAUAAUAAUAAUAAUAAUAAUAAUAAUAAUAAUAAUAAUAAUAAUAAUAAUAAUAAUAAUAAUAAUAAUAAUAAUAAUAAUAAUAAUAAUAAUAAUAAUAAUAAUAAUAAUAAUAAUAAUAAUAAUAAUAAUAAUAAUAAUAAUAAUAAUAAUAAUAAUAAUAAUAAUAAUAAUAAUAAUAAUAAUAAUAAUAAUAAUAAUAAUAAUAAUAAUAAUAAUAAUAAUAAUAAUAAUAAUAAUAAUAAUAAUAAUAAUAAUAAUAAUAAUAAUAAUAAUAAUAAUAAUAAUAAUAAUAAUAAUAAUAAUAAUAAUAAUAAUAAUAAUAAUAAUAAUAAUAAUAAUAAUAAUAAUAAUAAUAAUAAUAAUAAUAAUAAUAAUAAUAAUAAUAAUAAUAAUAAUAAUAAUAAUAAUAAUAAUAAUAAUAAUAAUAAUAAUAAUAAUAAUAAUAAUAAUAAUAAUAAUAAUAAUAAUAAUAAUAAUAAUAAUAAUAAUAAUAAUAAUAAUAAUAAUAAUAAUAAUAAUAAUAAUAAUAAUAAUAAUAAUAAUAAUAAUAAUAAUAAUAAUAAUAAUAAUAAUAAUAAUAAUAAUAAUAAUAAUAAUAAUAAUAAUAAUAAUAAUAAUAAUAAUAAUAAUAAUAAUAAUAAUAAUAAUAAUAAUAAUAAUAAUAAUAAUAAUAAUAAUAAUAAUAAUAAUAAUAAUAAUAAUAAUAAUAAUAAUAAUAAUAAUAAUAAUAAUAAUAAUAAUAAUAAUAAUAAUAAUAAUAAUAAUAAUAAUAAUAAUAAUAAUAAUAAUAAUAAUAAUAAUAAUAAUAAUAAUAAUAAUAAUAAUAAUAAUAAUAAUAAUAAUAAUAAUAAUAAUAAUAAUAAUAAUAAUAAUAAUAAUAAUAAUAAUAAUAAUAAUAAUAAUAAUAAUAAUAAUAAUAAUAAUAAUAAUAAUAAUAAUAAUAAUAAUAAUAAUAAUAAUAAUAAUAAUAAUAAUAAUAAUAAUAAUAAUAAUAAUAAUAAUAAUAAUAAUAAUAAUAAUAAUAAUAAUAAUAAUAAUAAUAAUAAUAAUAAUAAUAAUAAUAAUAAUAAUAAUAAUAAUAAUAAUAAUAAUAAUAAUAAUAAUAAUAAUAAUAAUAAUAAUAAUAAUAAUAAUAAUAAUAAUAAUAAUAAUAAUAAUAAUAAUAAUAAUAAUAAUAAUAAUAAUAAUAAUAAUAAUAAUAAUAAUAAUAAUAAUAAUAAUAAUAAUAAUAAUAAUAAUAAUAAUAAUAAUAAUAAUAAUAAUAAUAAUAAUAAUAAUAAUAAUAAUAAUAAUAAUAAUAAUAAUAAUAAUAAUAAUAAUAAUAAUAAUAAUAAUAAUAAUAAUAAUAAUAAUAAUAAUAAUAAUAAUAAUAAUAAUAAUAAUAAUAAUAAUAAUAAUAAUAAUAAUAAUAAUAAUAAUAAUAAUAAUAAUAAUAAUAAUAAUAAUAAUAAUAAUAAUAAUAAUAAUAAUAAUAAUAAUAAUAAUAAUAAUAAUAAUAAUAAUAAUAAUAAUAAUAAUAAUAAUAAUAAUAAUAAUAAUAAUAAUAAUAAUAAUAAUAAUAAUAAUAAUAAUAAUAAUAAUAAUAAUAAUAAUAAUAAUAAUAAUAAUAAUAAUAAUAAUAAUAAUAAUAAUAAUAAUAAUAAUAAUAAUAAUAAUAAUAAUAAUAAUAAUAAUAAUAAUAAUAAUAAUAAUAAUAAUAAUAAUAAUAAUAAUAAUAAUAAUAAUAAUAAUAAUAAUAAUAAUAAUAAUAAUAAUAAUAAUAAUAAUAAUAAUAAUAAUAAUAAUAAUAAUAAUAAUAAUAAUAAUAAUAAUAAUAAUAAUAAUAAUAAUAAUAAUAAUAAUAAUAAUAAUAAUAAUAAUAAUAAUAAUAAUAAUAAUAAUAAUAAUAAUAAUAAUAAUAAUAAUAAUAAUAAUAAUAAUAAUAAUAAUAAUAAUAAUAAUAAUAAUAAUAAUAAUAAUAAUAAUAAUAAUAAUAAUAAUAAUAAUAAUAAUAAUAAUAAUAAUAAUAAUAAUAAUAAUAAUAAUAAUAAUAAUAAUAAUAAUAAUAAUAAUAAUAAUAAUAAUAAUAAUAAUAAUAAUAAUAAUAAUAAUAAUAAUAAUAAUAAUAAUAAUAAUAAUAAUAAUAAUAAUAAUAAUAAUAAUAAUAAUAAUAAUAAUAAUAAUAAUAAUAAUAAUAAUAAUAAUAAUAAUAAUAAUAAUAAUAAUAAUAAUAAUAAUAAUAAUAAUAAUAAUAAUAAUAAUAAUAAUAAUAAUAAUAAUAAUAAUAAUAAUAAUAAUAAUAAUAAUAAUAAUAAUAAUAAUAAUAAUAAUAAUAAUAAUAAUAAUAAUAAUAAUAAUAAUAAUAAUAAUAAUAAUAAUAAUAAUAAUAAUAAUAAUAAUAAUAAUAAUAAUAAUAAUAAUAAUAAUAAUAAUAAUAAUAAUAAUAAUAAUAAUAAUAAUAAUAAUAAUAAUAAUAAUAAUAAUAAUAAUAAUAAUAAUAAUAAUAAUAAUAAUAAUAAUAAUAAUAAUAAUAAUAAUAAUAAUAAUAAUAAUAAUAAUAAUAAUAAUAAUAAUAAUAAUAAUAAUAAUAAUAAUAAUAAUAAUAAUAAUAAUAAUAAUAAUAAUAAUAAUAAUAAUAAUAAUAAUAAUAAUAAUAAUAAUAAUAAUAAUAAUAAUAAUAAUAAUAAUAAUAAUAAUAAUAAUAAUAAUAAUAAUAAUAAUAAUAAUAAUAAUAAUAAUAAUAAUAAUAAUAAUAAUAAUAAUAAUAAUAAUAAUAAUAAUAAUAAUAAUAAUAAUAAUAAUAAUAAUAAUAAUAAUAAUAAUAAUAAUAAUAAUAAUAAUAAUAAUAAUAAUAAUAAUAAUAAUAAUAAUAAUAAUAAUAAUAAUAAUAAUAAUAAUAAUAAUAAUAAUAAUAAUAAUAAUAAUAAUAAUAAUAAUAAUAAUAAUAAUAAUAAUAAUAAUAAUAAUAAUAAUAAUAAUAAUAAUAAUAAUAAUAAUAAUAAUAAUAAUAAUAAUAAUAAUAAUAAUAAUAAUAAUAAUAAUAAUAAUAAUAAUAAUAAUAAUAAUAAUAAUAAUAAUAAUAAUAAUAAUAAUAAUAAUAAUAAUAAUAAUAAUAAUAAUAAUAAUAAUAAUAAUAAUAAUAAUAAUAAUAAUAAUAAUAAUAAUAAUAAUAAUAAUAAUAAUAAUAAUAAUAAUAAUAAUAAUAAUAAUAAUAAUAAUAAUAAUAAUAAUAAUAAUAAUAAUAAUAAUAAUAAUAAUAAUAAUAAUAAUAAUAAUAAUAAUAAUAAUAAUAAUAAUAAUAAUAAUAAUAAUAAUAAUAAUAAUAAUAAUAAUAAUAAUAAUAAUAAUAAUAAUAAUAAUAAUAAUAAUAAUAAUAAUAAUAAUAAUAAUAAUAAUAAUAAUAAUAAUAAUAAUAAUAAUAAUAAUAAUAAUAAUAAUAAUAAUAAUAAUAAUAAUAAUAAUAAUAAUAAUAAUAAUAAUAAUAAUAAUAAUAAUAAUAAUAAUAAUAAUAAUAAUAAUAAUAAUAAUAAUAAUAAUAAUAAUAAUAAUAAUAAUAAUAAUAAUAAUAAUAAUAAUAAUAAUAAUAAUAAUAAUAAUAAUAAUAAUAAUAAUAAUAAUAAUAAUAAUAAUAAUAAUAAUAAUAAUAAUAAUAAUAAUAAUAAUAAUAAUAAUAAUAAUAAUAAUAAUAAUAAUAAUAAUAAUAAUAAUAAUAAUAAUAAUAAUAAUAAUAAUAAUAAUAAUAAUAAUAAUAAUAAUAAUAAUAAUAAUAAUAAUAAUAAUAAUAAUAAUAAUAAUAAUAAUAAUAAUAAUAAUAAUAAUAAUAAUAAUAAUAAUAAUAAUAAUAAUAAUAAUAAUAAUAAUAAUAAUAAUAAUAAUAAUAAUAAUAAUAAUAAUAAUAAUAAUAAUAAUAAUAAUAAUAAUAAUAAUAAUAAUAAUAAUAAUAAUAAUAAUAAUAAUAAUAAUAAUAAUAAUAAUAAUAAUAAUAAUAAUAAUAAUAAUAAUAAUAAUAAUAAUAAUAAUAAUAAUAAUAAUAAUAAUAAUAAUAAUAAUAAUAAUAAUAAUAAUAAUAAUAAUAAUAAUAAUAAUAAUAAUAAUAAUAAUAAUAAUAAUAAUAAUAAUAAUAAUAAUAAUAAUAAUAAUAAUAAUAAUAAUAAUAAUAAUAAUAAUAAUAAUAAUAAUAAUAAUAAUAAUAAUAAUAAUAAUAAUAAUAAUAAUAAUAAUAAUAAUAAUAAUAAUAAUAAUAAUAAUAAUAAUAAUAAUAAUAAUAAUAAUAAUAAUAAUAAUAAUAAUAAUAAUAAUAAUAAUAAUAAUAAUAAUAAUAAUAAUAAUAAUAAUAAUAAUAAUAAUAAUAAUAAUAAUAAUAAUAAUAAUAAUAAUAAUAAUAAUAAUAAUAAUAAUAAUAAUAAUAAUAAUAAUAAUAAUAAUAAUAAUAAUAAUAAUAAUAAUAAUAAUAAUAAUAAUAAUAAUAAUAAUAAUAAUAAUAAUAAUAAUAAUAAUAAUAAUAAUAAUAAUAAUAAUAAUAAUAAUAAUAAUAAUAAUAAUAAUAAUAAUAAUAAUAAUAAUAAUAAUAAUAAUAAUAAUAAUAAUAAUAAUAAUAAUAAUAAUAAUAAUAAUAAUAAUAAUAAUAAUAAUAAUAAUAAUAAUAAUAAUAAUAAUAAUAAUAAUAAUAAUAAUAAUAAUAAUAAUAAUAAUAAUAAUAAUAAUAAUAAUAAUAAUAAUAAUAAUAAUAAUAAUAAUAAUAAUAAUAAUAAUAAUAAUAAUAAUAAUAAUAAUAAUAAUAAUAAUAAUAAUAAUAAUAAUAAUAAUAAUAAUAAUAAUAAUAAUAAUAAUAAUAAUAAUAAUAAUAAUAAUAAUAAUAAUAAUAAUAAUAAUAAUAAUAAUAAUAAUAAUAAUAAUAAUAAUAAUAAUAAUAAUAAUAAUAAUAAUAAUAAUAAUAAUAAUAAUAAUAAUAAUAAUAAUAAUAAUAAUAAUAAUAAUAAUAAUAAUAAUAAUAAUAAUAAUAAUAAUAAUAAUAAUAAUAAUAAUAAUAAUAAUAAUAAUAAUAAUAAUAAUAAUAAUAAUAAUAAUAAUAAUAAUAAUAAUAAUAAUAAUAAUAAUAAUAAUAAUAAUAAUAAUAAUAAUAAUAAUAAUAAUAAUAAUAAUAAUAAUAAUAAUAAUAAUAAUAAUAAUAAUAAUAAUAAUAAUAAUAAUAAUAAUAAUAAUAAUAAUAAUAAUAAUAAUAAUAAUAAUAAUAAUAAUAAUAAUAAUAAUAAUAAUAAUAAUAAUAAUAAUAAUAAUAAUAAUAAUAAUAAUAAUAAUAAUAAUAAUAAUAAUAAUAAUAAUAAUAAUAAUAAUAAUAAUAAUAAUAAUAAUAAUAAUAAUAAUAAUAAUAAUAAUAAUAAUAAUAAUAAUAAUAAUAAUAAUAAUAAUAAUAAUAAUAAUAAUAAUAAUAAUAAUAAUAAUAAUAAUAAUAAUAAUAAUAAUAAUAAUAAUAAUAAUAAUAAUAAUAAUAAUAAUAAUAAUAAUAAUAAUAAUAAUAAUAAUAAUAAUAAUAAUAAUAAUAAUAAUAAUAAUAAUAAUAAUAAUAAUAAUAAUAAUAAUAAUAAUAAUAAUAAUAAUAAUAAUAAUAAUAAUAAUAAUAAUAAUAAUAAUAAUAAUAAUAAUAAUAAUAAUAAUAAUAAUAAUAAUAAUAAUAAUAAUAAUAAUAAUAAUAAUAAUAAUAAUAAUAAUAAUAAUAAUAAUAAUAAUAAUAAUAAUAAUAAUAAUAAUAAUAAUAAUAAUAAUAAUAAUAAUAAUAAUAAUAAUAAUAAUAAUAAUAAUAAUAAUAAUAAUAAUAAUAAUAAUAAUAAUAGAGAAGAGAAAAAUUAGAUCUAGGGUUUCUUUCUUUUUCUCCAAUCCAAAAAUCCCCCCUUUUCACAAUAGAUUCCUCCCUUAAAUACUCUCUCUCUCUUCUCCUCUAGAAUUCUAUUUAAAAUAAAAUACUAACAUCUGAAAUAUUAAAUUCGUAAUUACAAAAAUAACCAAAAAUACAAAACACGUUAAACUAAAAACUGCAGGUCCGCAGUUGACAGCACGCGCCCACGCCUUAUCAACAAAGUUCUUCUGACGCUCAUAAUUUCUCCAAGAGAACAAUCAUCCUUAAACAUCAUCUUAUAGCUCAAUUUUAUCAUCAAUCAAUAGAAUUGCACCUACAAAAGUAAAACAUAAGUAAAUCACUAUUAUUAAGUGCAAAACAUUGAUAUUAAGGGAAGUAAAUAAUGCAAAACUAGUGCAUAAAUUGCACUCUAACAGUAAUCAGUAAUCAGCAUUAAAAAUUAAAUUAAAUUAAAUUUUUUUGUUUUUAAUAUUAUUUAGUUAUAGACUUAUUAUUAUAUUUAUUCGUUCAUAAAACUAAAUAAUGUUAAAUCAAAUAAAAUAAUCAGGAAUGGUUCUUAAAAAAUUAAUAUUAUUUAUUUUAUUUUAUUUAAUAUUAUUUAGUCAUAGCCUAUUAUUCUGUUUAUUUUUUGAAAAUUAAAUAAUAUUAAAUAAAAUAGAAUAGAAAAUGUGAGUCCUUAAAAAUAAAAAUUAUUUUUAAUAUUAUUUAUUUUAUUUAAAAGAAUAAAUUUUUUAAUAUUUUUAUUUUAUUAAAAAAUAUUAUUUAAUAUUAUCUAGUCAUAGGCUUAUUAUUAUAUUUCUUCUUUUAGAAAGUUAAAUAGUAUUAAAUGAAAUAAAAUUACAUUUUAGAAGGUCAUUAGCCAAAGCACAUAAACUUAUAAACAAAUGGAAAUAAAAAAGGUAAAUAAUAUUCAAUAAAAUAAAAUUACAUUUUAAAAGGUCACCAACCAAAGCACAUAAUAUUAUAACAAAAAUGUAAAUAAAAAAGAAAGUAAGAGAUUCAAUGAAAUUUAACAUCACAAAAGACAAUUUCAAAAAUUGGGGGUAGCUUGCAACUGUUGCAAAGUGGCUGGUUCCAUAAUUUUGAGAUAAUGUUUCGGUUUCAAAUAUUGUUAUCGAUACCUAAUUAUAAGUAAUAAAAAAAUAUUGUAUAAUUUUUUUACCAACAUUUACAAUACAUUUUAUUUUGAUUUCUGAAAAAAAUAGAUAAAACACAAAUUAAUUAUUUUAACCCUCUAUUCUCUCAAUAUUUAAACUCGAAUAAUCAGUUAAAAGUUGCUCGAGAAUGUUUAAAAGCCAUUUAAGUAUACCACGUCAUUCAUGUUUUGCAAUCAUUCAAUUGUUAAUAAGUUUCCCAUGUGCUGAAAAUAAAUAAAAAUGCACGUGCAUAUGUCAUAUUGUCUCCGAAACCUCACAGCGGAAUGAGUGUAGUACUUGCAAUGCAUGUACUUUAGACUUUGUAUUUCUCUUAUUUAAAUGAUCAAUAAUUUUUCUUUGUCCUUUAAUUAGACGUCAACAGUCGAAGUUGUGGGCAGGUAGUAGGCUAUAUAUAAUAAUUUCCUGGAGAUCUUCCGUCUUCUAAGACAUUGCAAAUGCCAAACGUGAUAACUAUUUUGAUAAUUCAAAUACUACAUAAAAUAUAUGAAGUGUCAGACAAGUCAAAAGAAUUGAUUCUUCACAAUUGUAUAUACGUAUACACACACUUUGCCCAAAUCCCAUUGUAUCCAGGCUGUAAUUUUUAUAUUAAACGAACAUAUUUUAUUUUAUGUCAGCAAUAUUGAUGCAGGCUGGGGGAACAACAGCUUCAGGAUGGUCAACUACCCUUCGGAUCAUUGCAAGUGGGAUGGCAUCACUUGCAAUUCAGAUGGAAGCAUAAUCAGGCUAAAAUUAUCAUGGUGUGAUGUUGACUUCAAAAGGUAAUCUUCGUAAAAUUAUCAUGGUAUAAUAUACGUAUUUAUUUUCGCAUACAUAAAUAAAUAACAAAAUUGUAAUUAAUUGGAUACAGCUUCAGCUUUUGGACUGGUUUGUGAAAAUCAGAAAAAUUUAAAAAUGCUCCUCUUGAACAAUCAAAAUCUACUUUAUACGUGAACAAAGGGGAUGAUUCGUAAAGAUAGUUCAUCAAUGUUUGAUUGCUUUCAAGCGUGUCGAUUACUUUCAGAAAGAAAGACUUCAUUUGAUCUCGUCACAAAACAUAAUUUCACUUUGAAUUUGAAAAAGAAUAAUGAAGUUCAUACAAGUGCUGUUAUGACCUUUUUUUUUUUGUUUUCUUUUUUUCUCGACGUUGUUUUGUGAAUCAUAAGGGUUAAUUUAAUACGGUGGGUUCGCUUGUAUGAAGCGCACUUAUUGUACCAUUCUGUUGCAAGCAAUGAAAAAACGCUAUAAUUUUUUUAAGUUUCUACAAGUAUUAUGUUAUCUUAUAUCUAAAUGUGCAUCUCUAGUCUUUGCUCUCAGUUCAGGUUCUCUAAAAGUAUAUUAAUUAUGAAAAGCAUUAAAGGUUCCGAAACUCUAUUUUGCGGGGAAAAAGAACCUCCAUUUUUGGUUUUUUAUUAUAUGAGAUUUUACUAUGCUCGUAAUAACUUAAUCGAAAUUAAACAUAUCACUGGUCUACAUUUUUUUAUAAGAUUUUGUGACUUGCUAAUUAAGAUGAGUAUCACCAUCAAAUCAACAAGCUUAUACCUUCAAAGAAAAAUAGACUAUAAGUCGGGAGAAAGAAGAAAAAAAAAAAAAAAAGAAUCUUCGCAAUUUAUGCUGUUGGUUGUGAGUUCAUGAAACAAAUAAAAAUAUGAAAUCAAACAUUUAUUCAAAAUUUAAAAUUAAAAAAAAAACUCUAUAUCUACAGUAAUCUGUUCAAACCACAUAGGUGGAGCAAUAUAGUUCCAAGACGUGGUUUUAAAACAUGUCUUUGUGAUAAACAAUAUCGUGAUACUUGCGCCAAUUCCCAUGGCAAUAAUUGCCUACAUUUAUCCAAGAUCCAUGGCCAGGUUUAGAAUGUGCUAGUCUUCUUUCACUUUCAUAAAUAACCACUACUAGGUAAUCAGAGUGUCGGUCUAAAUUUUUCGGAGAUACAACGUCAAUGUAUGUGCCCGGAGUUGAAGCUGAACGCGCUUAAAUAUGUUCGGAAUUUGAAGUUGAACGCCUGGAAAAGGAUGCAGACUGAAGAAAGGCAAUUCCUGGAAUUUGUCUUUGGUAAGAAAACAUGGCUGCUUAUGCCCUUUGAAAGACUGAAGAAACCAAAUUGAUUAUUGCUGCAAUUUAGUGGCACAUGUACGAGGAGAGGCAUCCAAUUAAACUUGUUCAUAAAAGUAUUGCUGAUAGUUGCAGCCGAUCUCCAGACAAAAUCUUCGUACAAUUUUAUCCGCCAGCAAUUUCGACCAAGAGACCUUGAUGCAGUUCAGACCAAUUCGCCAGUUGAACAUCAAGUUGCCUAGGCAUUGAGAAUUAGGUCAAUAAAAUAUAUCCUGGGUCACUUACAAAAGAUGAAAUAAGUGAAAAAGGAAAGAUGACGUAAUAAUUUCUUAGUGAGAAAAGUUAGUUAAUUUGCAAAGGUCUUAGAUAAUCAAUUUGAUGUAAAAAUAUCAAAAUUUUUUUUAAUCAGUGAAAUAUUCAACCUCUAGUUUCAGCACUACAAAUGAAUUAAAUAGAAUAAUGAUAGAUAUUUUAAAAUUUUAUCCCAAAUGAUGUGAUAUGUAAUGUAUCAUUCAUUAAGUAGUUGAUGAUUUUUUUAUAAAUUUUAAGUGGAUUAAUUAUAUUAUUUUACCAACGAGUAAAUAAAUGUCACAUCAUUAGAGAAGAAAUUUUAAGGUAAAACUUUUCAAAUAUAUAUCACUACUCCAUUAAAUAUGGUAUAAAAAAUCUAAUAGGGACCAAAAAUAUAAAAACCCAUUAAAAAUAAAAAAUAUAAAAGUCAAUUCCUAAUUAGAAGAAUGAAAGUUUGUUUCUCCUACAAUCAUUUCACUAGAUUUUAAAUAAAUUAAUUAAUGAAAAUUUUUAAUAACAAAUCGGUGCCUAAACCUAACGUCUUUUUUUUUUUGGUCUUAUCCACGAGGUAUCCUGGGGAGGGCCCCAACUGUGGGAGGCACCUUUAAGCCCGUACCACAACCCAGACUAGAAGUCCCCGCUCGAACCGGGAGGCACAGGUUCUCCCAACAAAGGCGACUUCCCCGCGACUCGAACUGGGGAGCAAACCCAGUCAAGCCACUUAAGGGGACUCCAUUGCCAGUGGAGCCAACACUUUGUUGGUUAAACCUAACGUCUUUGACAGUGCUGCCAAUAUCACUCACAACUUACAAGAAAAUUUUGGUAUUAAAUUUAUUAAUGUUCUCAAGGAAUUUUUAGUUUGACUUUGCAUUCUCAGACCCAUUUGUCACAUAACACGUUAGCAAAGACCUUUAAUGAGAAUAUUAAAACAGCUGUCGAAUAAGCAUCUUGACGACGACUUUUUGACAUAUAUGCAUGCCUCCUUUUGUGAACAAAUUUGAAACAUAAAAGAAAAUUUUGAUCCAUGUGAGAGCUGGAGUAUUUUAUAGCUUUUGACCUCAUUAAUUAUGAGUAAGGGAAUAUUUCUACGUCACUAACGAUUAACAUGAUCACUAUAUAAAGGGAAGCAAAGUAUGUUUAGCAUCAAGUCAGAAAACACAAUUUUUAGGAAAUGGGAACUCUAGGACAGGCGAAGCAAUGGCCUCAAUUGGUUUGUGCUAUGGCAUUUUUGCUCAUAGCCACCACAACCGCAAAGGCAUCAGCUGAUGAUUAUGGCCCAGCACCAUCACCAAAGCAUGCAAAGCACCCUCCAAGCCAUUACAAGCCACCGAAACCACCAAAGCACCACGAGUCACCACCACCAUACUACUAUAACUCACCACCUCCACCAGUACAUUCUCCUCCACCACCUUAUUACUAUAAGUCUCCACCACCACCUUCUCUAUCUCCACCACCUCCUUACUAUUAUAAAUCACCACCACCACCGAAACAUUCUCCUCCACCUCCUUACUACUACAAAUCACCACCUCCUCCUUCUCCCUCUCCACCUCCACCAUAUUAUUACAAGUCUCCCCCACCACCAUCUCCAUCUCCCCCACCGCCUUACUACUAUAAAUCCCCACCACCACCAAAAUAUUCUCCUCCACCACCUUACUACUAUAAGUCACCACCUCCACCAGUGAAAUCUCCACCUCCGCCAUAUUACUAUAAAUCACCACCACCACCAAAACAUUCUCCCCCACCACCUUACUACUACAAGUCACCACCACCACCAAUGCAUUCUCCCCCACCACCUUACUAUUACAAAUCUCCACCACCACCAAAGCAUUCUCCUCCACCACCACCUUAUUACAAAUCACCACCCCCACCACCACCAAAACAUUCUCCCCCACCAC